GGGGUGUAACUGUGCGCAUGCACUAAAGUAAUAGCUUGUGUAUUCUUGUGUGCUUGAGCAUUAGCGGCUACUUUUAGUUCAAGGGAAAAAGGUGCCAUUUCCUAUAUGGGACUUUUGGUUGUAUAAGUGUUUGUGGAUUGAUGGAUCCAUAUACUGAUAAGCUUAAUGAAGGAAAAAUAGAAAUUGGCUCCUUGUCUUGGCCUUAUACUGAUAAGCUUGUACUUUAUAUAAUUGCUUUUUGAUUUGUUGUCUUGCAUGAAGUGAUCUACUACACCUUCAAUGGAGAGAAUAUUUGCUUAAAAGUAUAGGAUACAAAUGAUUAAAUUGUAAAGUUUGGAUAUUGACUAAUUUUAAUUUACCAAAUUAUAUCAUAACCUGCUUUCCUUUUUCGUUUUAAAAGAAGCACAGUUUACUAAGUUGAGCUUAUGGAAUUUAAUAAAAUAAGUUUGUUUUAUUUUAUUAUUAAAACAUGUUAUUUUUAUAAGAUUUAAGCUUAAAUUUAAUCAAAAUGAUAUAGAAGAAUGGUAUAAGAUUGAUAUAAAAUUAAUAUUCCAAAAAGAAUAUAGGAGAUAAAAUGUUAAGUUAGUUGAAAUAUAAAAUUAAAAUAACUUUACUCGGAUGUAAAUGAAAAACUCUCAUUACAUAAAUAUAUAUUGAUGUAUUUUAUGGCUAAACAAAAUCAGUCCCUUGAUUAGUCAAACAAUUAAUUCGUUUCGUAUCCUGAAGCUUCAUAUAAAGUGGGGGGUAUUAUAUAUUUUUAAUAAAUUAUAUUUAAUAAUAAUUAUUUUAAAUUAUAUUUUAUAGUAUUAUAUAUUAUGAUUUUAGUAAAUUCAUAUAAGAAUAUUUAAUAUUAAGAAUUUUAUUAAAUUAUANNNNNNNNNNNNNNNNNNNNNNNNNNNNNNNNNNNNNNNNNNNNNNNNNNNNNNNNNNNNNNNNNNNNNNNNNNNNNNNNNNNNNNNNNNNNNNNNNNNNUAUUUUAUAGUAUUAUAUAUUAUGAUUUUAGUAAAUUCAUAUAAGAAUAUUUAAUAUUAAGAAUUUUAUUAAAUUAUAUAUUUUAAUUAAAAUAUAUUUAAUAAUAAUUAUGUUAAAAUAUGAUUAAAUUAUUUAUUAUUGAUGUUAAUAAUCUUAUUAAAAUUUAAUAACAAUAACAAUAAUCAUUUACCUAAACAAAUUUCUGCUAAGGGUAUUCUAGUCAUUUUAGUUUUUUCCCUUAUGCUAUUACACCUCCAUUCCAUUCAACCAAACACAAGAAUACUAUUACGCCUCUAUUCCAUUACAUUCAACCAAACAAUUGAAUUGCUAUUACGCCUCUAUACCAAUACAGCGAACCAAACGUGGCCUUAAUGUAAUGUCCAAUUCUACUAACCCGAUUUUCGAGAUGUGACAAAUUUCAAACAAGCUGGCUCUUGAUUACCAAAUAGGUAAGGAGAGAUUUGUUGCACAAUGCUGAGUCAACAACUGCAACUAAUUUAUUAAAAGUAUUGAAGUUAUCAUUGUGUCGAUCAUCGAACCUACGAAUCAAAUAAAAAUUUCACCUUUGGCUAGAGUCUCUUCUCAUCGAUUUUCUUUUCUUUUCUUUUAUGAUCUCUUUUAAUUUUGUUUAAUUUUAUUUUUAGUUUUUAAUUUUAAACCUAUAACACCCCUAUACCCGUCCCGACUGUCAGGGCAAGAUAUAGAAAUGCUAUGUUUCUUGCCAAAACAACCAUGGCUAUAAUCUAAUGAACUGGGUUUCAUGUAGUAAAUAUUUUAAUAUUAUCAACUUAAAAUUCCCAUAUUAAGUUGGUCUUAAAUAAAAUCUUAUAAAAUUAUUACGUAAAAUUUGUUUCAACAUUUUUUUCCAUACAAAGCAGGGCUCAAGUAUUGAUACUGAAUAUAAGGUAUCGGUUCCCUAGCUUAAGUAUCGAUACUCCUAUCCAGGUAUCGAUACCAAUUUGAGGUAUCGAUACCUUUACUAUAAUAUCGAUACUUUGACCGAAGUAUGCAUACCUUCCUUAAGGUAUCAAUAUUUUACCCCUGGUAUCGAUACCAAAUCUUGAUUUGAUGUUUGGAAAUAAGAGAAAUUCAUUAUGGAACAAUUUGCAUAUUUAUUCCCUAACUUCUCUACUCAUUUCAAAUUAGCCCAACAUGUUCAAAAUAUGCGGUUUAUCAUCCAAGAUCAUUAUCCAACAACCCAUUUCUUAAAUAUAUAUGAUAUUUUCUUAAUUGAUGAACUCUAUGUGCAUACCUUUUGUACCAAAAUAUAUAGAGUUAACACAAUUAUUGAAGUUUUACAAAUAAGUCUUUUAGAGGACUUGUAUUAGCAAAAAUAGUUUACUUUUUCUGCAUACCAUCAUUAUUGCCAAUAUUUAUCAGUCAAUUCAUCAAUUAAAGACUUCCUUAAAAGAUUCAUUCAUUUGAUACUUCAACAGCUAUCAUUUACAAUAAUUUCUUAACAGUAUAACUCUCCUAUUAUUUUGCCUCCUCCUCCUCUUCAUUCCACAUCUUUUAUGUAUAUAUAAGAAUCUUUAGAUUUUAGUAUAACAUGUUUAUAUGUAACAUUAAUUAUAAUUUCACUAUUUACUUAUGUGUUCAUAUCAAAGUUCCCACUUGUGUCAUAGUCACUAAAUUAUUUAUAUCUUGAGCUAAAAAUUUUGAAAUUAAGAUCCGCUUGAUGUUUUUGAAACUAGACUGAAAUAUAGUUUUACCAUAAGAAAUUUAGAAUUUCUACUUUAUCCAAUCAAUACAGUAAAUUCUUCAAAAUUUCCCCUAUUCUACUGCUUGACAGCUUCAACCUUUCUUUACUUAAAAUUAAUUAUCUUUUAGUAAGGGUUUCAAAUGAUGUUUCUAUUCGAUUAUUUUAAAAAUAGACCCAUUAAGAAUUUAAAAAUAUAAAUUUCAUUCCCUAAUAAUUUUUUUUACAGUUUUUGAUGAUUUUCCAAAGUCAGAAUAGGGGAACCCAAAUCCUUUCUGACCUUGUAAAAAAACUAAUAUAUCUCAAAAUCUACAGUUUCAUUACUUGCAUCGUUUCUUCCAUACGAAACUAGGCUCAAUAAUCUUUAAUUUCAUAUUUAAUUCAACCUCUAAAUAAAUUUAUAUGAUUUUUGGUGAAUUUUCAAAGUUAAGCCAUUACCGUUAUCCAAACUGUUUUAAUGAAAAUAUUUUCUUUUUCAUGGUUCUUUGCACUAUCUUUCAUUCAAUCAUACAUAAUCACCAUAUUUUGAUUAAUAUUAAAUUUAAUCACUAAUUUUUAUGUGUAUAUUACAUAUUCAUUUCGUAAUCUUAAUGAUUUUCCCAAUACAAAUCACAUUUUCUCUUACUUACAAAUUUAGUGUUUUAAAUCUCUAUACUUCAUCAAAUACUUUUUAUUUCUAUUAUUUAGAUUAAAAUACAUCUUUUAUAGAUCUCAUUCACUACAUAUUUAACUAAAUCUGUUGAAAUACAAGUAGGGUUAGUAUGGAACUUACCCCUUUUGUCAAUAAUUUCUUCCUUUUUUCUUCAUUUCCCUUCCUUAUCUUCACCACUUUCCUUCCUUUUCUUCUCAUUUUCUUCACUUUCAUCUAUUAUUUUAUUGCUUCUAAACUGAUGAAUAUAUUCUUUAAAAUCUAUACUUCAUCUUUUUUUCUUUGGUGUCUAAGGAAAUUUUCAAAAAUUUUUGGUGAAAAAGUGGAUUUUCAUAGCAAAGGACUAAAUUGUAAGAAAAAAAAACUUUCUCUUCUCUAGCUAUCUCUCACGUUGGAAUGUGAAAAGAUGAUGCAUUCUCUUUAUCUUUCCUCUCUUUUUAUACCAAUCACUUUGAUAAUAAAAUAUUAAAAAAAAUCUAAUUACAAUAUUAAUAUUAUAACAUUUAUCUAAUUAUUUAAUUUAAAAUAUCAAUAAAAUAUCUCUCAUGUCGCCAUUACACUCUAGAAUUCUCUCUCAUGCUAAUUGACAAUUUUUCCCUUUAUAAUCCUUAAAAAUUUCAUCCUUGAAUCAUCACUUAAUUUGGUAAAAUUAUAAUUUAGUCUCUCAUAAUUCUCCAUUUAUUCAAUUCAGUCUUUAUUCAUCCAUUUUCCUUAUUUUCUAAACUCUUCAACCCUUAAAAUAUUUGCAUUAUCGACCCUUCAAAUUUUCUAUAUUUAUACUUUAACCCCUCAGAUUUUAAAUUUUACAAUUGAACCAUAAAAAAUUUCAUAUCUUUAUGACCUAGUCCUUGGCUCAAAUUAAUAUUUCACAACAUACUUCUUAUUUCAUUUUUCUCUAACAUCCCUUACCAUUUACUUUUUUUGUAUCUUAUUUCACUAAGAAUCUAUGUCAUAUAAUUUUCUACCAAGGGAGUUUUGAGGAUGUUACAAAACCCCCCUUUAUUUUUAUUUUUAUUAAAAAAUAAAAUUAUCACUGGUCUAUGUGGAUACAGUCUUACUUACCACUUUCUACUAAUUCACCUUUUUUCAAGUAAAUAUUAUUUUCAUAGGUCUCGACAGCCUAACAUGCAUCAUUUAAGCAUUUUAUAAAUUAAAUUUAUCUAGUACACUUAAACUAACUACAAAAAAAAAAACAUUUUUCUCAUUUAAAACAAUCUAUUUGAUUUUGUCAAAAAAAAGAAUCUAUAAAAAAAAAAUCUAUCCAUUCUUAUAUAUAUAUAUAUAUAUAUAUAUAUAUAUAUAUAUAUGACUAGUUUUUAGUGCUUUAGAAAAACUUCUAAUUAUUAGAAAGGAACUAUCUAGCCUUUUUUAAUAUUAUUAUUUUUAAAUGAAAAUUUUAUAUAUGAUAUAUUAUUUUUUAAAAUUUAAAUUUAUAUAUAAUAUAUAUUUUUCACUUGUGUGAGGUUCUACUCACAAUGUGAUUUUCAUAAAUUUUUUUUGGAAAUAGACUUAUUUAAAGGUAUGGGAAGAUUUUGACAAAAGUAUGAAGCCCGAAAAAUGGGCUUGAGAAAAAAUUGCACUAUUUGAAAUAUGAAACAGGCUUGGGAUCCAACAUUUAAAACCCAAGUUGUCAUGUCCCAAAAUUCGGUCUAGUAGAUUUGGGUUAGUGGAUCGGGUAUCCAAUUUAGAUAUCAAAACUAAUCUCAAAAAUUGAGGGCCUAAAAUUAGGUUCAGGAAUUUAAAAUUAAGUGUUCGGAAAUUAUUUAUCUUAAAUGGUUUUUUAAAUAAAUAAAAUCAUAUUUAAAAAGAAUUAAGAAAAUAAAUUUUAAUUAAAAGAUGACUAAUUUGUAAAAGGGUCAAACUUGAGAGUUGCCCAAAAGCAAAUUGAUCCAAGAUUUAAAAAUCAGUUUCUUUUUCAAGUAGUUUAAAACCCCUUUCAUGAUUUCUUCCUUCCCUCCUCUCAUUUGAAUUUUUUUCCAAACACAAAUCUAUAUAUCUUUCUCUCCAAACUAUUAAACCUUUUUUUUCUUACCUCCCAAACAUUCAAUUUCCUCUCAAAUUUCAAGCAAACUCUCAAUUUCUUCAUUAAUUUUCUCAUUUUUCUCCAAAGGAUUUUCAAGAAAUUCAAGCUUCAAUUCAUUUUUCUUGUCCAAGCAAGGUUAGAUUAUGAUUCUUGAUGGUGUUUUUAUGCAUGUUACUUUUUCAAAUCAAGAUUUGAUCCUUUAUAACGAGAUUUUUAUGGAUCUAAAGAUUUAAGCCGAAAUUGAGCUCUAAAAUGGUGAAUUUCAGAUUUCUAAGUUAAACCUCUACUUUUAAAUGAUUUUCGUCUUAUUUUGAAGUGAUUAAAAGGUUUUUUAAACUUAAUUUAACAAAACAUAAAGAGAUUUUAAAGAUUUGAUGAUUGUUGCUCUAGAAUGUUCAUAUGUGGUAAUUUUUUCAGAAAAUUGAAAACUAUUUUUUUAAGUGUUUGAAGUGGUAUAGGUAUAUUCUAAAAUGAUACAUAAGAUUUUUAGAAUAAAGUGUAAGCAAUAUAAACAAGAAGUAACCAAGGAAAACUAAGAUUUUAGGAAAUCUAGUCAAAUUUUUUAUUUAAGAGAGGAGAGGACAGAUCUGCAGUUUUGUUGAAAUUUGGUUGUGUUGUAGUUGUUAAUGGCCAUAUUUUAUUGUAUUUAAUGUGUAUGAAAAGUUUCGGAUCCAUUGGAGUCCUCUAUGAGUAAGGCAAAAGGCAAAGGAGCUCGUUUAAACUUUCGACAGUCAAGCGAAAGCUAAACCGGUGAGUGAUCUGGAGUUGCUGCUUAUAAACAUAAUUCAAUGAGUUAAUUGGAAGCUUAGGUUAGCCUUGUUGUGUGUCCAUAGACAUUGGUAGUAAAACUGUAAACUAUUAGUGGUCAAUCCACAAUUUGGUGUGUUGGUGGUUAGAGUUUUGGGGAAAUCCCAUUGUGGUGUGUAGCGGUGGGGUAGGAUUUUUUAUUAUUAUUAAAACUGAUACUAUAUGGCAUCUAUGAAAGCAUGUGCAUACAAACUUAGAAUUUUCAGUAGGAUAUAUUUAUACUUACCUAUUUGAAUGAGUUAUCUGUGAAAUCAAUAUUCUUUAUGCAUUAUUAUUAAUAUGCCUUACCGAUUUUCGCACUGAUUUUUUUGUGAUUGAACUCACAUUGAGCGUAAUAGCUCACUCCCCUUACAUUUUCAUCAUUAUAGAUAACUCACAAGUUUAGGACGCAAACGCGACAUUCGGUGGGUCUCGGCUUGGUUUUGUUAAAAUAUUUUUAGAUAUAUUAUUUGAUAUUUUAGUAUUCAGAGGUUGUAUUAUUAUUUUAAUUUGAACUGUGGCAUGAGACUUAGGUUUUGAGUUUGUUUUUAUCUUGCAUGACCCUUAUUUUAAAAUUUAGGACAACAUGUUAUGAUUAUUGAUUAGUAUGCAUGGACCCUAGUUUUUGUUAAAAACUAAUAAAUAUUACUUUUCCGUUGUUAAAUCAUGAUUAAAAUUUUGAGGAAUAAUAAAUCAGUAUGUAACGAAGUCUUCUUCUAAAAUAAACAAAUGUUUGAAAAUGAUUAUUUUUAAAACCCCGAUAGCUUAUUGGAUCCUGUGACUAAUGUAAUCUUCUUAAUUUAGGUCUAACGUCUAGGCCGAGUUGGUGAGGUUACAGAUCAUGUCAUUACGAUGCAACACAGUAAUUGUUUUUGUCUUGUUUUGCUUUCUUUGCUAUUUAGUCCAGCAUAUCAUCAGUGAAAUUGGAGUCCAAAAAUGCUAUAAAAUUCUUUGAAAUUUUGCAUACUUAAGAUUUAUAUGUUUAAUUUUGUAAUUUCAUAAAUAAUUUUGCAAUAUGGUUAUUUUGUACAUUUUUUUUGUUUCUACGAUUUAGUCCCUAAAACUUUAUUUUUAAAAUUAGAUAAGAAAUAUUAAUCGAUUUAAACUUAUUCUUUCAAUAAUGAUUUUAAUAGAAUUCUAAGAACUAAAGGUAUAUCUAAUUUGUUAUUUUAUGAGUGUUUUUGUGUGAUGAAUGUAAAAUGAUGAAAUUGCCCUAGGAUAUCGUUUGAAUGAUUUUGUUAGAUAAAGCAUGCUAUUAUGGUUCGAGCAACCAUCCUUAAUUGUUGAUCGUUAGUUAUGCAUGAUAAUGUUGUGGUGUGAAUGGUGGUUUGUAGUGUGGUCACGUAAGUGACUAAUGUGACAUUCUGAAUUCGGGUCGAGCUAUCCUUGCCAAGUUUGGGGUGCCACACAAGCCCAACCUGUUUUCUACUUUGUAAUAUUUUUUUAUAUAGUAUGUGAUUUAUAUAAAGUAGAAUUAACUAUAUAAUACUAUUAUGGAAACAUUAAAGUAUAGGGUGAGAUCGAUACGAUUUUUUUGAAUUUUUGAACUGAACCAGGGCUUCGGGUUUCCAUAUUGUUUUUGGGCUUUGAGUUGUUGGACUUUAUUUAGACAAGAUUAACUUUGGAUUUGGACUUUUCAAAUUUAAUUUGAUAAAAUUAUAUUUAUUUUAUGUUUUUUAGGCACUAUUUGACUUUUUUUUCAAUUAUACAUAAAAUCUCAAUUAAUAUAUUUUUCUAAAAAGUAAGUUGUGAAAUCUAUAAUUAUAAAUAUUUAUUAAAAAUCUAAUUAAAUCUUGAUUUAUCUACUCUCAAUCUUCAUUGAACAUAAUCAAAUGUUAAAUUAUUUAUAUUUUUAUUUGUAUUUUAUAACUUUUAACGUGUAAUGACAAAAAAACAUACACCUCAAUUAGGAAAUAUUAAUAACGAUAACCAAAAUUUUAGAAAUUUAAAAAAAAAAUAAUAGAAAAAAAACACAAUAGAUAAUAAGCAAAAAAGAGAUGAACACUUUAAUUCUUGAAAGUUUUAACAACAAUAAUAGAAAACAAUGAAAUCGUGAGAGAUUGAGAAUGAAAUUUGAUUUAAGGUUUUUUACUUGAAAGUAUGAUAAAAGUUAUAUUUAAAAUUUAGAAGCAAUAAGUUUUGUUUAGGAUUUUAAAUGAAUUUAUAUAUUGGGCUUAUUUGUUAAAAAAAUAUUGGUUUCUUUUUGGAAUUUUUAAUCACGUUUUUUUUUUUGACUUUUUGGUGUCCAAAAGAAUAAAUCAAACCCGAAAAAAAUUGAUGUGGUUCGAUGGCAUCAUUUAACCGGAAUCGAAUUGAACUAUAAAAAACCUAAAUCGAACCGAACCAAAGUUUCAGUUUGACUUGAUUUUAUCAGUUUGAUCUGUUGCUCAGCCUUAUUACAGGAUAUGUUAAGUUAUCUAUGUUUAAAAGAAAUUCACAAAAAUAAAAUAAAAAUAUUCAAUUAAUAAAUAUUAAAUUAGAAAUAAAAUAUUUUUUAAAACUAAAAUGGGUGGGCUAUUGUCAAAUAUGGAUGAGCUUGGGCAAAACUUAAAACUCGUAUUUCAAGUCGAGUCGGGCUUGAGCAACCAUAAAGUGUACUAGUAUCACUACAUAUGUUUGACCAAACCCAAACCAUGAAUACCUUUAUUUGGAGAUUAGAGUUUAGUUAGUUCAUGUGUUUGACACCAUAAAAUUAGUAAAAAAAAUGGUUAAACCACUUAAAAAAUGAUUAAAUUCGGUUAAAGCUGGUUUAAAUGUUUCAUUUUGUUGUUAUAUUUUAUCAAAUGAAUGUUUAUAUUAUUAUUAUUUAUUUAUGUUUGUUUUGUUUUGUAUUUUCCUUGAUUUUUUUCUAAGUAUGUUAUAAUAAACGUAACUAAUGACGAUAGAUGUAACACCCCUUACCCGUGUCUGACACCGGAACAGGAUACGAGGCAUUACUGGUCUUAAACACAAGUAACCAUGCAAAAUCGGGCCAUAAAAUUUCAUUUUGCUUAAAACUAUCUAUAAACAUGCAUAUCGUCCCUUAUAAGGGCCUACAGGGCCCUAAACAUACAUUGGAAGUGGUGCAGGACUAAAUCGGAAACUUUAGAACACUAAGAAAAUUUUCAUGUUUUGGAGGGUCACACUUACUCACAUUCAAUAUUCAUCAUCAACAACUCUUAUACGUGCAUAAUUAUAUCUAAUUAACAUACAUUACCAUUAAGCAAAACUUAGCCAUUGGACAUCUAGACUUCUAGCACAUACAACCAUUAGGAAUUUAGGCCAUACCCACAACUCAUCAUGUAUCAUGCAAACACAACUCACAUCACAAGACAUUGUCAUAUAAUUAAUAUAUAUAUAUAAAGGCUUGCAACCAAUUAGCCAAUAUAAACCAAGUUACAUGGCUAUACAUAAAUCAAACCUUUAACCAUUACAAGUCAAAACAUUUGGCCAAAACAUAAUAACUCAUACACAAAAUGGUUGGGUCCUUAUACAUGCCAUAAACUUAAAAUGCUUGAAUACAUUGAUACCAAUCAAUAGCUUGAUAGUGUGAUAGAAUCUCCGACGAUCUCCAACCUGAGCUAGUAUCUGUGACAUUAUAGGAAAAAGAAAGAAAGAGGGUAAGCUAUAUAGCUUAGUAAGUUGGUAUGUAAAUAAUAAGCAAUCUGUUAACAUGCUUUUACCAAUCCUCACAAUAUGUUCUCAAGAUAAUACAGUCAUAAUUGCACAUAGUUUCACUAUUUACUCAUAUUUAUAUCAAGUUAUCUACUUGAGUCAUAGUCACUAAAUUAUUUAUAUCUUGCGCUACGGAACUCCAAAUUAAGAUCCGCUUAAUUUUUCUGAAACUAGACUCACAUAUAUUCUUACCAUAAAAUUUUCAGAAUUUUUGGUUUAACCAAUAAGUACAGUUAAUUCUUCAAAGCCGUCCCUAUUCUGCUAUCUGACAGUUCCAACCCUUCUUCACUAAAAAUUAAUUAUCUCUUAAUACAGGACUCGGAUGAUGUUCCCGUUUAUUUCUAUUGAAAAUAGACUCAUUAAAAUUUAAUUUCAUGUCUUAUUCAACCUCUAAUGUGAUUCCCACAAUUUUUGGUGAUUUUUCAAAGUUAUACAACUGCUGCUGUCCAAAACUGUUUUAUUGUAAAUUUUACUCUUUCAUGAUUUCCUUAUUUUCAUUUGCAUUUCUUUACUUUCCAUGCUUAUUCCAUAUACGUGACACACAAGUCAUAAACUUAUCAUUCAACCAUGGUCACAAGCUAGUGCAUAUAACCAAAGCCUUUUUUCGAAUUGAUCACUUGAUAAGUCAUUUCAGAAGAAAUUGUAUAAUUUAACCUUACCACUCUUUCAUGAGCACUAGCAUAUUUUCACUUAAAUACUUGCCAUUUCAACCAAUAGCUUGGCAUUUGCUUAAGCAUCAAGCAAAAACACUGGUUAGCGUACUUGCACAUAUUGCUUAUAAAUUGAACAUUGAUAAACUUAUUUUCUCAACAUGUCACACUUGAGUUUAUUACUCAUCUCAACAUACAUAAUUUCUUUGUCAAAUACAAUAUAAUCAAUAAAUACACUUCCUUCAUAUCAAAAUCAAUAAUAAUCUGUAAAUCUUCCAAUUCAAUCACAUAAGUCUCUUACCAUUUCUUACUAAAUCGAAGAAUAGCUUAUAGAUAUGAGUACAUCGUUCCUUUUGUGCCAUAGUCCAACUAUGGUCUUACACAUGCAUUGCCAUGGCUCUGCCAUGGUCUUAUAUUUGUAGUAUCAUAACCCAGUUAUGGUCUUAUCAUCAGAAUGUCAUAUCCAAACUAUGGUCUUACAUAUAAACAUUGCCAUGGUCCAACCAUGGUCUUACGUUCAUAGUGCCAUAACCCAGUUAUGGUCUUAUCCGUCAAUUCAUCCUUUGUCAUAAAACGAUUGUUCUCAAUCCCGCGUUCAAUCUAAAUUAAGUAUUAAAUUCGAUAAUGUAUUUCCAAUAAUAAUUCAAUUUCAACAAUAAAAGAUAUAUAUAUAUAUAUAUAUAUAUAUAUAUAUAUAUAUAAUAUAUACACUACAACAACUAACUACUUACUUAACUUAACUAAANNNNNNNNNNNNNNNNNNNNNNNNNNNNNNNNNNNNNNNNNNNNNNNNNNNNNNNNNNNNNNNNNNNNNNNNNNNNNNNNNNNNNNNNNNNNNNNNNNNNCUAAGUUUGAAUCUCAUCUUCCUUGAUCUAUAACAAAACAUUUGACUUAUUUAUUCAUCAUGCUACUCAAAUUAGCUCAAUUUCACAUUUUUGGUAAAAUUACAUUUUUACCCCUAAACUUUAUCAUAUUUACACUUUUGCCCCUAGGCUCGUAAAAUGAAAUCCAUUCAAUUUCUUUACUACGCAUGCCUAAUCAAACCUUUUUCAUGCUUAUAGCAGCCCACAUAUUUCACUUAUUCACUCAUUUACCACACAAUUUAUCACAUUUCUCAAUUUAGUCUUAAAUCGACAUUUUUAUCAAAAAUCACUUUACAAAUGUUGUUUAUCUAACAAGGAUGCAUUUCCUAUCAUCAAUUAUGAAAAUACACAUGUAUUCAUCAAUGGAAAAAUUUUCAAAAUUUAACAGUUUUGAAAAUGAAGGUACGGAAUAGCUAAAUCGAGUUACUACAACUCCAAAAACGUAGAAAUAAUUAAAAACGGGACAAAAACCGUACCUAGAUCGGCCAUAGAAGCUUGGCCGAAUGUUUGCUUAUCCAUGGCUGCCCAUUUUCUUCAUAAACGGUUGAAGAAGAAAGAAAAAAGAUGAUAGUUUUUAAAUUUUGUCUUAUUAUACCUUUAUUAGCUUAAUGACCAAUUUGCCCUUUUCUUUUCAUACUAAUUUCAAAAAUACCAAAUAAAUAUCUUCCACUAACUUAUUAAUGGGCUAAUUAUCACAUAAGGACUUCCACUAAAAAUUUUAUAACUAUUUAAUACCUCUAGCUUCUAGAACUCAAGUUUUGCACUUAUUACGAUUUAGUCCUUGUGACUAAAUUGAGUGCCCAAACGUCAAAAUUUUCAUACGAAAUUUUCACAGAAUAAUUCUGUAAAAUUGUAGACCAUAAAACUAUAAUAAAAAUAAAUUUUUCUGGUCAGAUUUGUGGUCCCGAAACUACUGUUCUGACUAGACCCAAAAUCAGGCUGUUACAAUAGAACAAUCGCAAAGCAAUAAGAAAAGGAAAAAUAAGAAUACACAGAUUUUAUGUGGAAACCAUGGCCCUUAGCCUUUCACCCCCACAAAUCGCCUUAUUUUGCCACUUUAUUUAUUUCUUCAACAAGUGACGGGAUUCAGGUCACGCAAUCUCUAACAAUCUCCACCUUGACACGAAUUCUCAAUGAACAAGUUCUCCACCUUUUCCACAAAACCCCAUAAGGGGUAUUAUUCAACAAUGAACACCAACGAAGUUCAAAAAAUUCUCAAACUUAGUUAUAAGAAGUGACUUAGUCAUCAUAUCCGCGGGAUUAUCAUGAGUACUAACUUUGCUCACAACAAUAUCACUAUGAGCAAUAAUAUCACCCACAAAGUGAUACCGAACUUCAAUAUAAUUUGUUCUCUUAUGAAACAUUUGAUCCUUCGUAAGGAAGAUAGCACUCUGGCUAUCACAAAACACUGUAUUGAUCUGAAGGUCCUUACUGAGUUUACCAAAGAGUCACUUUAACCAAAUAGCUUCUUUACAAGCCUCGUAAUCAUGUACUCAGCUUCAGUAUUAGACAAAGCAACUGUAGUUUGCAAAGUGACUUUCCAACUAAUGCCGCAACCCCUAAUAGUAAAGACAUACCCUGUAUGAGACCUUCUUUUAUCAAUGUCUCCAGCAAAAUCAGAACCAACAUACCCAAAGACUCCAUCUCUAGUUCUUUCAAACUGUAACCAAACAUCAGUAGUAUCUCGUAAGUAUCUGAAAAUCCACUAAACUAAUUUCUAGUGUUUCUUAUCGAGAUUUGUCAUGUAUCUACUAACUGUAUAUGAUAAAUCUGGAUGUGAGCAAACCAUAGCAUACAUGAGCGAUCCCACUGCACUAGAAUAUGGAACACAUGACAUGUAGUUAAUCUCAUCAUCUGAUUGCAGAGACAAGGCCUAUGAAAGUCUGAAGUGGGCUGCUAAUGGAGUACUAACAGGCUUGACACUUUGCAUAUUGAACCUACAAAGAACUUUCUCAAUGUACCUUUUCUGACUUAGGUAUAAUUUACAUGUUUUUCUAUCUUUGAGAAUCUCCAUCCCGAGUAUCUUCUUUGCUGCUCCCAAAUCUUUCAUCUCAAAUUCUUUACUAAGUUGGGUUUUGACAUUUCUUAUCUCUCUUUUAUCUUUGGCCUUUAUCAACAUGCCAUCAACAUAAAUGAGUAGAUAUACAGAUGAAACAUCACUACUCUCUUUAAAAUAAACACAACUGUCAAAAUUGCUUCUUUUGAAAUCAUAAGUAGUCAUAAAUGAAUCAAACUUCUUGUAUCAUUACCUAAGUGAUUGUUUCAGGUCAUAAAGAGACUUUUUCAGCAAGCAAACAUAGUCCUCCUUUUUUAAGACUAUAAAACCCUGGUUGUUACAUGUAAAUAUCUUCCUCAAGUUCUUUAUGUAAGAAUAUUGUUUUCACAUCUAACUAUUCAAGCUCCAAAUCAUACAUGGCCAUAAUACCAAGCAAGGCUCGAAUCAAACUAUGGUUAAAAUAGGAGAAAACACAUCUAUGAAGUCUACACCUAGAAUCUGAUUGUAACCUUUUGCAACCAGCCUUGCUUUAUACCUAGGUUUUUCAACUCCUGGAGUCUCUUCUUUCUUCUUGAACACCUAUUUACAACGAAUAAUAUUUUUAACCUUAGGAAGCUUUACUAGGUUUUAUGUUCUAUUCUUAUGGAGUGAUUCCAUCUCUUCUUGCAUAGCAAUCAUCCACUUUCCUGAAUCUUCACAGCUAACUGCCUCGAAAUAAUGAGAUGACUCUUGAUUUACUUUUAUAUCUUCAGCCACAUUUAAGGCAUAAACAACUAGAUCGGCCUCAGUGAAUCUAUUUAGAGGUUUAAUUUCUCUUCUAGGUAUGUUCUUGGCAAUAGAAUAUUGUGGAGCUGACUGUGGUGAAAAAGUAACUCUACUUUUAGUUUCUGUACUAACCUGAGGAGUAGACUCUGUUGUAGAUCCUAGACCAAUCUGAAGCUCUAUCUGCUUUAUAUGUGUGUUUGAACUUUGUUGGUCCUUAUCGGAAAGAUCUUUAAGAGGUAAGUUAUGCAGGAUAGCAGUCUCGUAAAAAAAUAACAUAUUUGCUAAUUACAACUUUCUUAGUUUUAGGACACCGUAACGUAUAUCCUUUAACACGACCCUUAAAUCCAAGGAAAACACACUUCAUAUAUUUAGGUUCCAAUUUACCCUUAUCAACAUGAGCAUACACAGGACACCCAAAAAUCUUCAAAUAAGAAUAAUCAGCAGGAGUACUAGACCAUACCUCUUGUGGAGUCUUUUCUCAAUUGCAAUGAAUGAAAAUCGGUUAAUUAGAAAACAUGCAGUAGAGGUCGUUUCAGCCCGAAACAACUUCGAUAAAUAAGUAUUCCACAAUAUAAAUCGAACCUUUUCCAUGAUUGUUCUAUUCAUUCAUUCUGCAAUACCGUUUUGUUAUGGAGUAUAGCGAGCUGUCAAAUCACGAACCCUUUUGAUUUGUACAAUUUACUAAAUUUAUCAGAACAUAAUUCCAAGCCAUUAUUUGUGUAAAGGUGUUUUAUCUAUUUUCCUUUCUGCUUCUCGAUCAUAGUACAUGUCAUACAUCACUAAGUGUUCUGAUGACUCCAUCGAACAUGUUAAUUUUGAUCUUGCCAAUACUUGCAAUAAUACAUGAAACAUUAUUUUCCAUCAAAACAACAUUGUUGGACACUGUUUCAUAUGUUGUAAACCAAUAUCGAUUGGGACUCAUAUGGAAGGUGCAACCAGAAUCGAGGAUCCACUCCUCGCUCACUUUAAAUUUGCCAGCAGAAGUAACUAGGAGUUCACUAUCACUGUAGUCUUCUCCUACACCAACUUCACUAGAUUGUUCUAGUUGUUUUCCCUUUUGAUUUGCAACCUCCAUUUUGGUCUUAUUCUGCAACUUAUAGCACUCAGACUUAAGGUGCCCUUUCUUUUUGCAGAAGUUAUAGGUUUUACCUCUUUUUGAAGAUCUAGAUCUACCCUUAGAUUUACUGUCAGGAUUACAUUCUUGUGUCCUCCCACAAUUAUCACCAGUAUUUCAUUCUUGUCUCUCACGGACAAUGAGACCCUCUCCCUGAGAUUCAAAUCCAGUCAUAAGAUGCUUCAUCUUGUCAUACGAAGCUAAGGAAUCAUAGACUUCAUUAACUGUGAGAGAUUCAUGACUAUACAAAAUCGUAUCUUUAAAGGUUGUAUAAGAAAGAGGCAAUGAACAAAGCAAAAUUAACCCUAAAUCCUCUUUAUCAUAUUGAACCUCCAUGGCUUCUAAGUCUGAGAUGAUUUCUUUAAACACAGUUAAGUGUUCGACCAAAGAUGUACCUUCUUCCAAAUGAUGAGAAUAAAGACGUUGCUUCAAAUGCAACUUGCUAGUUAGGGUUUUUGAUAUACAGAGCUACUCCAGCUUUGUCCAUAAUGUAGCGGGGGUCUUCUUCUUCAACAUGUCCUGUAGAAUAUCAUUCGACAGAUACAGAUGUAAAUACGUCAGAACCUUUUGAUCAUUACGCUGCUUCUCUUCAGUUGUAAAUGUCAAAGGCAUUUAUCUACCCCUAGCAGAGCAUCCUCCAAAUCUAUCUGUGCAAGAACUGUCUGCAUCUUUACCUGCCACAAUGCGAAUCUAGUGUUACAAUCCAACAACAAAAUAUCAUACUUCAUCAUUAUUGUGAUCGAGACGAGCAACCCAAAAAGCUCUGAUACCAGUUUUUUAUAUUAAACAUACCUAAUGGCGGUAGAACGAUCGCAAAACAAUAAGAGAAGGAAAAAUAAGAACACACAUGUUUUGCCACUGUAUUUAUUUCUUCAACAAGUGACAGGAUUCAGGUCACAGAAUCCCUAACAAAGUAGUUUGGAAACUAUCUACUCUGUGUACCCUUACUUAAUGAAUGGUUUAUUCAACAAUUGGUCCAACAAACUAUUUGUUAAAGCCUAAUAUACCCUUACACAAGAAGCAAAUGCAACCUAGUAGAUAACCCCAACUUGUUAGAACCACUUACCCAAAUAAACUCACUUACAAUAAAUUUAACUCUCCAAAAAUGCCUAUAGCAGAGUGCAAACAACAAAGUAAAUGCUGACAAUAAUUACACAAGAAAAUAAUACAAAAACUCUCUCUCAAAGAUGUGCCAAGCCACGUGAAUAAAAUAACCUAUUUAUAAUAAUAAUAUGACAGUUUCCUCAAGUAGUUGUGUGAAGAUAGAAUCAUCAUUUUUAAUUAUAUGAUUAUCCUAGGUAAAAACUUCCAAUAUUUAUCUCAAAAUAAAGUUUUUUAAGCCAAUUAAAAUCAACAACUUAAUCACCAAGUAAAUGGCUUAAGGAUAUAUAAGCCUUAGUCGAUCACCAAUUAGUCAAUCUCAAUCACCAUCAUUUAAGAAAGGAUAGAACAUAUUCUUAGGAUCAUUUGGUUAUAGAGAAAUGAACCAUAAGGAUAAAACACACACACACACACACACACUAACAACUAACUCUACUUGACUUGUCUUGAAGACACGUCGAAACUGUUGUCCAAACUGUUUACAUCUGUUCAAACAUGAGAAUAAACAAACAGUUCAAAGAGUUGUUCGAUCAUGAGAUGAACAUCAAUAACAAGACAGCUAAAAUCUCAACAAAAUUAUUGAAUCAAACUUUUUCAAAGUUGAGUGAUAAGCCAUUAUAUAUAUAUAUAUAUAUAUAUAUAUAUAUAUAUAUUGUCAAAGAAUUUUUGUUCAUUUAUCAAGUCUAGCAAUUAUCAUUUAAGGAUAAAGAUAGUCAUAAAUUUGAAUAAAUAAUUAAAUUAAUUAAUUUUUUCCACUAGAGAAUCAUUUUAGCCUCAUAUAUAGGAGAACAAAAGGAGAUGAGGUUUGGAGUAGACGGCAUGCCAUUUUCUCUUAAGCCAACAAAUCCUGCUUAGGUGUUUGUAAAAAAUGUAGGGCUAAAAAUAUGAAAGAUACGUAUGUUGAUGUUGCUUGUAUGUAUCAAAACAAGGAAAAAGAAAAUAAUAGUGUAUCAAUGUGCAUGUAAAUGAUUGUGAAUCACAUGCAUGCAUCUUUUUCUUGAGCUUAGUUGGCGUUCACAUAAUUAAAAGCUUAUCUUAUGAGAAAAGAAAAAUGAAUCAUAAAUUAUGAUAAUUCACUAUCUCCAAAACAACAUCUGUAAUUCACUAAUCGCAUCAAUUAAAUUACCAAUUAACAACCUUUUUUUUAAGACUAAAAGGUACCUUUUAUAAAAAAAAUUUUAAGAUUCAAACUAAUUCUGUUAAAUAUUGAUUUAAGAUUAAAAUAAUUAAUAUUUUUAAAUACAAGUGUAAUACGGGUCAUACAAAUAAUAUAAAUAAUUAAUAAAAUAUAUCCCUUUUUAAAAAAAAAUCCAAUGGCUCUAAAACAAAUGUUAACCCUAAGUGUAAUUUAAAAGUAAAAUAGUAUUUAUAAAAAUUUAAAAUAAUAAAUUUAAUCUAAAAAAUUUAAUUAAUAUAAUAAAUUCCUUUUUAAUUAUUUUCUUGAGUAAAUAAGAUGCAUAUAUAAAUCAAACUUGUACAAAAAUCUCUUUAACUACAUCGUUUUAGAAAAUAAUGAUAAAAUAAUUUUCAAAUUUAAAGGUAAAUCAAUACUUCUAAAACACCAUUAAAAACUAAAACACAAAAUUAAAAAUAAAUCUCAAAUUUAAAAAAAAAACUUAAAAAAGCAAUAUUAAAGAAAAAAAAUUCAUGUCCAUUAGAAACAAAAAAAAGAAAGGACUGGAAUUUGCCUUUGAAUUUUUUUUCCUUUAAGUUGAAAGAAAAAAAAUUAGCUAUCAUUUAAUUUUUCGUCUCUUUUAGUUUUUAAAUUUGUAUUAUUUGUCAAAUCAUUUCAAAAUGUUUGGAAGUUAAUAUUUGUUAACUUUGCUAACGUGGCAUACACCACGUUAGCAAUUAAUUAAUUAUUUUUUAAAUUUAAAAAUAUUUUAUACUCUUUAUUAAUUUUAUUUUUUAAAAUAAAUUUUUAAUUUUUUAAUUUUUUUAAAUUUUAAAAAAUAAUUAAUUGCUAACAUGGCAUCCAUGUAGUAAUUUACAUGUAUGCCACAUCAACAAUGCUAACUUUUUAAUCAAUUUUUAGGUAAUUUAACAAACAAUACAAGUUUAAAAGCUAAAACGACGAAAGAUUGAAAGAACGGUUAAAAUGAUUUUUUUUAUAAAGUUAGAGGGUCAAAUAAGUCAUUAUGUCAAAAAGAAAAAAAUCGGACAGGUGUCUCUCAAAAUUACAUUUAAUUAUUUCUUAAAUUUGGUAAAAUUUCAUUAAUUAUAUAGUUAUAAAAUUAAAACAUAACAAUAUAUAAGUUUAAUCUUAAAGUAUAGACUAAUUUUCUUUACUUGCACUAUCUAUACGUUGAUUGUAUGUAUUAAUAAAAUUACAUUUAAUUAUUUCUUAAAUUUUGUAAAAUUUCAUUAAUAAUAUAGUUGUAAAAUUAAAGCAUAAUAAUAUAUAAGUUUAAUCUUAAAAACACAAUAUAAUCUUAAGACUAAAUUUAAAUUAACAAUAUAUUGUAAUUACUUUAAAGUAUAAAUAUUAUAAUAAUAGAUUGUACGAAAAUUCUAUUUUUAUAUAUAAUUUCUAACAUACUUUUAAUUAUUAAUUAGUGAAUGUAAAUUGUUAAUUAAAUUUAAAUAUUGUGACUACUAACAAAUUUAGUGUAUCAUUAUUUAUAUUUUUAAAUAUUUAUUUUAAUUUUAAUAGUGUAUUAAUUUGUAAAAAUAAUGAUAAACUUAAAAAGAUUUUUUUAAAUUUUUUUAAAAUUUACAGUAGCUUAUUCUGUAAAAUUUAAGUUAAAUUAUUGAAUAAAAGUAAAAUGAAAGGUUUUAUUAUGAAAAUAUAACUUAAAAAAACACCAUUAAAAAUUAUAUAAAAAAGGCGGAAGGGUUUAUGUUCAAAAUUUUCCCUCCACAAAUGCUUACUUUCUUUCCUUACCCCAUGUCAAAUUUUUAUAAUGUAAACACAUUGAAAAUUUAAAAAUAUUUUAAUAUAUAUUAUUUUAAAAUCAUUUCUGCUAGCUCAAAAAAUCAAACUGAAAUUGCCAUGGGAGGGGGUGAAUUGGUUUUUUAAAAUUUUGUGGGAGCUAGAGAAUAAGGAUGAAAAAAUUGCACACAAGAAUUUAGAGUGGUUCGAUGCCUACUCCACUACCUCAGCUUUCCAUGCUAUGGAUUUUCCCAAAUUCACUAAUUUGACAACCUUUGAGGACAAGAUUUAACCUUUCAAACUCCCUUAAGAUUUCUACUCAAACCUUCAGACACAAACCCUCUCAAAGAAAUACAAAUAAGCAAACUAAGAACAAACCCUUACAAUAUCAGAAUGUUUGUAAAUUAAACUCAAUUACAAAGAAGAACACUUAAGCUGAUAGAAUAAUGAUAAAGCUCACAAGUGUUUGUAAGAAAAUUAUAGAAAAUUUUAGCACAAAGGUUGUUUGAUUGAUCUUUAAGCUUGAAUAUUCUCUCUUGUUGUUGUAGGAUCUUUAGAAGUUGGUAUUUAUACCCUCUAAUUCAUUUCCAACCGUUGUGGUUGUUGAGGAAUUAAAUAGAACCGUUGCUGAUGAAAAUACCAGAUCAUUAAAUUCACCUACAACAAAAAAUAUCAAUACUUUUUCUACGAGUACCGAUACUAUUAGCAUUUAAUGUCUAAUUCAGUGACCGUUAAAGUUAGUUUACAACGAUAACAAAGACCAUUUAUCUAUACCUAGUAAAAGGUAUCGAUAUUUUUGAAUGAGUAUCGAUACGUUUUGUGAUUGUUUGAAAAAUCAUCAAGUCAGAAUGAAAAAUUGGUAUCGAUAUAAAAAGAUGCUAUCAAUAAAAUACCAUAGGUAUCGAUAUAUUUUGAAAAUUAUCGAUACUUUUUGCUUUUGUUCAAUUUUUGUUUCAAGCUAGUGAGCAAGUUUGAUAUUGAUAUAGAAAAGGGCAUCGAUAAAAAUUGUAUGAGUAUCGAUACUUCUUGUAGAGAGUUUUUUUUUUCAAUCGAUUUAAAAAUGUUUCAAUCGAGUUAAAAAGUUUAAAAUUAUUUUUGAACUUUGCCCAAAAUUUUUUAAGUGUUCAAAAUAUUUUCUAAGUUUUUUGGAAGUCUUGAAAUGGUUUUUAUGCUUUGAACUUUAUAAUUUCUUUGUUCAAAAACAAACUUUAUUCAAAAGCAUUUUUGUUUGUUAUAUCGGAACAAUUUAUCAAAUAAAGCUAGUUUAACAAUCUCCCCCAUUUUUAUAUAACAAAACACUUUGGUAAAUUUCUUUUUGAAUUUGUUACUCCCCCUUGUUAAAGUUUAAUUUGAAUCAAUGACUUGGUUUUAUGAAUUUAAAACAAAGACUUGAGAGUGAAAAACUGGUCACUUAGGUGUUUGCAUUAAAAGAUUAGUCAAAAAAUACUCAACCAAAUACCAAUUAAAAUUACCUUUCUCUUCUCUUCUCCCCCUUUUUGUUAUAUCAAAAAUCAACAAAUAAAGUUUAAGAGAAAGACUUUGUUAGUCCAAGAAAAGAAAUUUAAAAAUUAAAAUCAAACUAACAUCAAGCCUUCAAGUAUCUACAAAAGAUACCAAAAUAAGUGUAACACCAUAUAUCCGGCCCGGUCGCGGAACUUAAGUACCAAGACGCUACAUUAAACCUCACAACUUCAUACACAUUCACAUAGUCACAUUUACGUACAACCAUCAUCACAUUCAAACAUUUAUAGGAUUAUUGAACAUUAAACCUCACAACUUCAUACACAUUCACAUAGUCACAUUUACGUACAACCAUCAUCACAUUCAAACAUUUAUAGGAGUAUUGAAGCUAAAACACCUUAGGCAUCAUUCACACGACUUAACCUUUAAUCGACUUUAGGAACAAUUUAAAAGCAUGCUUAGGGACCAAUUAACAAUUUCAAAGACAUUCACGUAGGUGUCGAUACUCAAUCGCAGGUACCGAUAUAUAUGAAGAUAGGUAUCGAUACCAUUAGGAAAAUCGAUACCUUUUUAGCAUUCUAUUUUUCCUCAAAUUUUAAAACUAAGCAAAUUAUCGAUACAAAGCAAAAGUAUAUGUAUUUUUACCCUGAGUAUCGAUACUCAUGAAAGGGUAUCGAUACCAAAAUGAGCUACUAUUUUCUUUCACAUUCCUUACAGCAUGGAGGUAUCAAUACUUAUGCCCAAAUAUCGAUACCUUUGCACAAAACAUAAAAAAAAACUACAAAACAGGGCAAAAAUUCAUACUUAAACAUCUUCCUAUCCAAUAGGCAUCAACUAACAUACUAUCCAACAUCAAAAUGAUCAGAAUCAUAGUCCAAAAUAACAUCUCUACCUCAAGUUAAUUAAACUAUAACAAAACCAGUAGAAUAAUGGUAAACAUCCAUCAAAUCUUAAAAGUCUACAAUCAUAUCAAAACACUAAAGACAUAAUAACAGAAACAACCAAAAUUCUAGCCACAUGGCCUUUAUUCCCACAGUUCAAACAAUAAUCAAAAUGUCACCUACUCAAUUUACUAAGCCUAACUUGGAUCACUUCCUUGGGACCGCACCGCUUACACCGUAACUCUAAAUAUCUGAAAUGGUUUACAAUGGAGUGUGAGAGCUUAAACAAUCUUAAUGAAUGUAUAGAAUUAUCGUAAAGAUGCACAAUAUCAUACGUUAAAUGUAAGCAACAAAAGACACAUUCACAAUAGAGUUUAACUAUAGUGCCAAACUAACAUAUUUAUGCAUCACUUACUUAUACAUCUAACUUUGUAAUCACAUAUUUAUACAUGCAUUAUAUUUCACAAAUGAUUCAUUAAUUGAUACAUUAGCAACUUGAGACUGUGAAACAUAAAAGUGGGUUAUGUCAUCACACAUUAGAUACACGAAUCUCCAACACACCAAUGACUGAGGAGUCGAACAUAUCCCAAAAGUGUAGCAUCAAGCUAACACUCUCCUUCACACUAAUAUAUCCCGAUGAAUGGAGCUUAUAUCACAUUCCCUUGUCUCUCCAAACUGUCCUGAACCUUAAUGCCCCAAAAUCAUAACACAAGGGUGAGUACUCACAAAAUCUUAUGGCAGGCCAACUAUAUCUAACGGUCUCAAAAAAUCACAAGUCCAAAGUAUCCACAAUAUAACACAUAUUUACUUACCAUUUUUUGCACACUUUCACUGCACAUUUACAUCAUUAACACAACAUCAUCACUAUCACUUGGCAUGUUUAGCAUGCUCACAACUAAAACAUUUCACAAGAGUUAACAUAACAUAUAGCACAUAUCACAUUACACAUCAUACUACUUAAUCUACAACACAAAGUCACAAAUUUUGCAAAAUAAACGAGAGGAAUAAGAAAGCUUACACUCAAAACUUAGAGCAGGGGUUUAGGCUACUCUUAAGUUGUAACGCCCUAAAAACAUGACUUUUCUUAUUAGGUUGUGUCAAUGAAAAUGUGGGUGUUUCUGUGGUAAUGUGCUCUGGUUGCUCAUUAAAGGUCUGAGGCUCGAGUUGCAUCUUUUAAAGUUUUGCGUAUUCUUUAAUUGAAUUUUAGACUUACAUGUGUCACAUAAGUUAAAUUUUGUGUGUUGAUGUUUCAACGAUGAGCCUAGUGGUUCAAUGGUUAAGCAUCUAUCUGUUUCAUUGGUCCUGUGUUCGAACCUCUACGUGUGCAUUAAGGAAUAUUAUUUUUGCACUUCUCAUUAAAUACAGAUAUUAGAAUUUUAAAUGAAUUUCCUUAUACGUUUAACUUCAUUUCCCUCACUAUUUUUUUAUUUUACUUUCUUCUUACUUUUUGGCAUCAUUUUUGAAUUCCUCUUCGUAUAACGUUCUGAUAGGUUAAUUGUAGAAUCAUAUUGUACUGUUGGUUGUUUCAGUGCUUAACGGUAGUAUUAAACUGUAGUAAUUAUUAUUGUUAGGUAUGAAUUGAGAAUUUAUUUGAAAUCCCAAAGUGAGGGUGUUGAUCGAUUUUGCUUUGCUUUGUUUGCUCGUGGUUAUGGAAGGUUAGGGGAAGGUCAAGAGACGUCUAACGCUUCUCUCAUCGUCUAGAACUCGAGUGUGCGCUCUUGAACUUCAAUAAGCAAGUUUUGUUCGUUUCAGGUUUGUGGGUUAAAGGUUUCAACGUUGAUUGUUGUUGUGAUUUAUCGUAUCCCUUUGAAUCUCCAUUAAUUGAGUAAUUGGAUUGGAUUUCUAGGCUUUGGGAGUUUUACGAUUUCUUCUGGGUCAUUGCUGUUUCAGGUAAGGUAUUGAAACCCUUCUUCUUUUGUAUUUUUUUAUCGUCAGAAAUGGGACAGUCGACAGCACAUGGACUGCCACACAGAUGUGUGUGCAGGCCAUGUAUGCCACACAACAGUAUAGAAAGUCGUGUGGUGGACCGUGUAACUGACUAAGUUCAGAUUUGAGACACAUGGACGAGCUAUACGGGCGUGUGGUAGGCCAUGUGUGAGAUAUUAAGGUGCAAUGGUAACACGAGCUGGCACAUGGGCGUGUGUCCAGACCGUGUGACUCAUUAUUUAUGUAUUAGGGACACACUGGCAAGGAACACGAGCAAACACGGGUGUGUGCCCAGACCAUGUAACUCACUAACUUGGUGAAUAGGGGCACACGAGCAGCCACACGAUUAUGUGCCAGACCAUAUGGAGUCACAUGGGCACCCACACGGGCAUGUGAGCCUAAAUCACCAAAUUUUUGUUAAUGCCAUAAUUAUUGUACGAGACGAGUGUAAGUCGUCUGUAGGAUAUGUAUGAAUGAAACUGAACUGUAUGAUCUACUUUAUCAUGAUUAUAAACUAGUUUUACAUACCAGUAUGAGACAAUUCGUAAGAAUAUCAACCCUCUGUUAUAUUGGAACUGUACGAUUGUAUCUGCAUAAGAAUAUAUAUUGGUCAUUUUUUCUCAACAUUUGCAUAGGGCGGAAAUUAUGAAUUGAAGGAAGUGUUAUGUACUGAUUUGGUGGUUAAACCACCCGUAAUUAUAUAUGAUCUGGAAGUGAGACUGUAAACACUACAACGUGUCAUACCAACAUUAUAAUGUGUAUAGGGAGAGACGAGUAUUAUAUACCUACUGGUGUGUUGGGUUGGUUGGAUAUGGUGUGUAACAGAUGGGGGUAGGAUAACUACAUCUAUAUCUGUAUUUACAUCUGAAUCUAUUUUUUAUCUGAUCUGCUGUAUAUCUAACUACUCUGUAUCCGAACUAUUAUGAGCUAUUAAUUUGAUCAUAAGACUGAGUGUGUUGUCUAAAUUCUCAAUAAUAUUUAAGUUAUUUUAUGUACGUUGAGUAUGUACAUUUUACAUUAGGUUGUAACGUACUAACUAGACUGAAUGAAUUUCAGGAACCUCUCAGAACCAAGCGGUUGGCGGACGCUAGACUCGGUCAUCUAAUGGUCCUAUUUUAAAUAUAUGUGUGUGUUUAAACUUUUUAUUUGUUUUCCAACUCUAAGUUUUAAGAUUGAAUUAUCUUGAAUGGUUGAUGGUUUUAAGACUUAUUUAUGUAUCGAUUAAACCGACUUUAAGUGCAUCUAUUUUCUGGUAAGCUCAUUUGAUAUCCUAGACUUGGUCUUUUCAUCAAGGUCGGGUUUAAGGUGUUACAUAAUCUCUCAUUUAACACUAUGAAUCGUGUCUACAAGCAACAAUUUCAAAUACUCAUUGUUCACGUUUUUACCUAUUUGCCGAAAGUUUAAACUAGCUUCUCUUUGCCUUUCGCCUUGCUGCGAAGAAGGCUCCAACGGUUCUGAAGCUUCACCAAAAUAAAUUGCACAAUAAACACAAUUAAUUUACAACCUUAGACACACCUCCACAAGAAAAAAACAUAGAUCAAAGGUUAGUUCCUCUUGGAAUUGAAAUUUUUGAUUACCAACUUCGAAACUCAAAUAUCUUAAUCUCUACUCAUUCCCAUUAUUUAAAAUCAAUUCAAAUCAUCUAAUUAUUCAUCUAAGAAUAAUUCUCAACCUUCAAACCACACAAAACUGCUCAAAUUCAUGGUUUCGAAAAUUUGACAUACAUGGCCAAUUUUAACGAAAACUCAACAAAACCUUUGAAUUCUUUAACAAAACUUUAAGGAGAGUUUAAAAAAAUUAUAAUUAUAUCAAGAAAAUUUGAAAAACACUUUGAAACAUUAAUUUUAUUCAAAAUACCAAAUUUCACCAUUAACGACCCAAAUCUCGGCUUCUACACAAAACCUUUGAUUCAAUGGCUUAAAACUCGAUUUCAAAGGCUAGACUACAACAAAAACUAUUAGAAAAACAAAACAUUACCUUGAUUGAGUGAAGAACAAAUGAUUGAUUGAAAAUCUGGAAAAACUCACUUGAAGAAAAAUUAAUGGAUUUAAUGGUGUUCUUGGUGUCUUUCUUUGAAUUUGAAGGGGUUUCUAUGUUUGAAAGGUGAUAGAAAAUAAGAUAUUUGAGUAAUAGAGACCAAAAAUUGAAGGAUGAAUUUUUGGGGUUUUUCUCUCUAAUGGACGACACAAAAAAAGGGUGAAAGGGUGUUUCUCUUUUCUCUUCUUUCACGUUAAAAAUAGGGUGAAAGGGGGAAAAUAUGGGCUAAUUUUAAAACUUGGUGUAGUAGCUUUAAAGCUACCCUUAAGUUUAAUAUUUUUACAAAACAGUAGAAAAAGGUGAAAGGGUGUUUCUCUUUUCUCUUCUUUCACGUUAAAAAUAGGGUGAAAGGGGGAAAAUAUGGGCUAAUUUUAAAACUUGGUGUGGUAGCUUUAAAGCUACCCUUAAGUUUAAUAUUUUUACAAAACAGUCAUCUUUUUAAAAUUUAAAUCCUAUUUCUCACUAUUUUCAUAAAUUAGUUUAAAUUUUCUAAAGCCAUAAACAAAGAUAUUUUUGGGUUACCACAUUUUGAAUUUUCGAACUCAUUUUGUGCAAUAAUUCCAAAAUUACCCUUGAAACUUCUAAACCCAAUUUUGGGAUCUAACGAUAAGUGUUAAAGUUCUAACACGUAAAGAUAGGUAAAUGUGCAAUGAAAAUGAUUAAAAUGCAUAAGAGAAAAAAUGCACUUUAGUCUUCUUGAGGUGGAGGAGUUGGAAGAAAUUGAGACAUAAGAUAUGCUAUAUUUUCCUCCAUCUUAGACAUGCUAAAGUCUAGGCCUCUAAAGUCAACUCGAAAAAAUCCAAUUACUCUAAGAAUUACUAGUGUGCCAGUUGAAAAAUUCUGUUCUUGUGGUGGAUCAGAAGAAGUGGCAUGGAUAGGAGUUGGCUUUGGUGGAGGAAUAUCAUUAUUCUCUUUUUUGAUGUCUUCACCAUCAACCUAUUGAGGAUUGGGUUGGUCAUCCUUAACCCAAUUUCAGGUAAGAGGAUCCAAUUUGAAUCCAGCACAAUGAAGAGCAACAAAACUAAUAGGUUGAAGCUUAACGGACAAGGGAGGAUCGACAUGGGUAGGGAUGUUUAGGCUUAUAAAGAUGUAAGACAUGUACGUUCCAAAAGGCGAGGUGAGGGUACUAGAGAGCUCCUUACCAAUGCUUUUGGUAAUGUUAUUAAAUAAAAUUAAAGUAAGAUUGAGAUGCUUAUUACUAUGAAAACAAUCAAUACACCAAUAAUUGGUAGAUUGAAGAACGACACGUUUUGAGAUUGGACGCAAUAUCAAUGUGAUAAUAAGAUGCAAAACACGAUCAUAGACAUUGAGCUUGGAUGCGUAUGAGCGUUGAACAUUCAAAGCCGAAUUUAAAGGCCUUUCUCAUUCGAUUCACCACCGGAAGAAGUUUUAAAAUUUUGUCAAAGUUUUCCAAAGUGAGAGAAAUAGGUGUUUUUAUAAGAAAAGAGUUAAUGGCAACCAUGAUCUCACUUGUUUCAUCAUUUUCGAGUCUAGCAUUCGAAUAAAAUGCUCGAACAAGAUUAGCAUACGUUGGUGAAAAAAAUUUAAAAAAGUUAAUCCAAUGUCAUUCAGUCAAAGUUCCAAGAAAUCAAAAGUUAAUUUUGGUUAAAAACUCAAAAUUAAGUGUCCGUAAAACGUUAACUUUACAUUUAGAAAAAUAAUGGUCACAUCGGUAAGAAUCAUUGUCCUCUCUAAAGCAAUCAUUGAAAGAAAUGGUUUAACCACUGGAUUUAUUUGAAGACGAAGGCCCGGAACCAGGGCGUUUCUUGAUAGACAUUGUAACUAACUAGAUUAGAGAAGACACUAUUUGCACUUAAAAUUUUAGUUGGGAAUUUUAUCAAACACAUUGUAAGCAAAGGGUUUAAAGAAAAUUUUUAAGAUUUUGGCUAAGUUUAUGUAACCUCCUGCAAUAAAAUAAAAUAUAUAGACUCCAAAUAACCUAAAAACACAAUUUUCAACCAAUAAUUUAACAAAAAUUCAAAAAAAAAGCGAAAUGAGAAAAAUGAAUUUUACCACAAAAUUUCUUGGAAAUGAUGAAAUUUGAAAGAAAACUUGUUAAAUCCUCAUAUAAAAAGGCAAUGUUGGUUGUUUUGUGUCAAGAUUUUAAAUAAAAGGUGAAAGAUUUCAAGAUUUGUGAAUAUAGGUGUGAUAGCCCGAAAUAGGGCCUAAUCGGAACAGUGGUUUUGUAACCACAAAUCUGAAGUGAAAUAGUUUAAUUUUAUAAAUUUUUAUUAAUUACCAAUUGAUUGAAAUAUUGUGUGAAAAUAUGGAUAAGAAAUUUUAAUGAUUUAGUGCCUAAUUGAAUUUUUAGGACUAAAUUGAGAAAAAUGCAAAGUGUGUCUAAUUAGUGAUUAAAGGACUUAAUUGAAUUAUUGCAUGAAAUUGGAAGUGUUUAUGUGGCAAGUAGACCAUAAAUUAGUGUUAUGGACACAUAAGGGUAAUUCUAGAAAAAUAUCUAAGUAAGUGGGUCAAGGGCAUUUUUGUCAAAAUUGAAUAAAAGACAAAAUAAGAUGAAAACAAGUGCUCAUCUUCUUCAAAUUAGACCCUUGUUGCUAAAAAUUUCAUGUCACCAUAGCUAAGGUUCUUAAUUUUUCUAAGCUCAAUUGUAAGUGAUUUCCUGCCCUGUUUUUAAUUAUUUUCGUAUUUUUAUGCUUAUUGAAGCUUGAAUUUCAUUUUUCUACCAUUUAUUUUAAAUGAAAUGAAAUUUUAAAAAAUUUACCCAUUCAUGAUAUAGUUGUAAUUUGAUGAGUGAUGAUAGAUAAUGAAUCAUUGAAGUGCUAAUUACCAGUUUUACUAGAUGAAUUUCGAUAAAAAUGUUUAAAAAGGACUAAAUUGUGAAAGAUAGUAAAGUGUGCAUAAAGUUGUGAUUUUGUGAAAUUGAGGGCUGUUAUGAGCAUGAAAUAUGAUUUAGUGAGGUUUAAAAUUUAAGAAAUUUAGUGAAUUUUAUUUUUACAAGCUUUGGGGCAAAAGUGUAAUUUUUGAAAAGUUAUGGGAAAAAUGUAAAUUUGCCAAAAUAUUGUUUAUGAAUUGUAUUUGAAUGGAAUUUUGAUAAAAUAUAUUAAAUUGUGUUAAUAUAGAUCAAGAAAGAAGGAAUAGUGAAAGUGAUCGAGGAAAAGAGAAGGUUAUCGACUAAUUUACGAAAAUGGUUGUUUUGCAUCCGAGGUAAGUUACGUGUAAAUAAUAGCAACAUAUUUUUAUAAAUUGUGAAUUAUAUUUGAUAUGUGAAUUAAUAUUGAAUGUGGAAGUAAAAUUAUUCAUGAAUUAUUCAAGUGAUAAAGUGUUUAAAAUAAAGUAUUAAGUUUAAAUUCCCGGUUGAACUUAAGAAUAGAAAUGGAUACAAGUGACAUGUCACUAGAGACCAAUGUUACAGUGUUACAGUGAGUCUCGGGUGCUGGGUGAUAUAGCAUGUGUUGCAGAUACCUGACAGCUUGUAUGAGCAGGCCCGUGGACAUUUUCAGGGUUUUUGAUCAGUGGUAGCUUCGGCUACAUUUCAGUGGUAGCUACAGCUACAUAUCAGUGGUAGCUUCGGCUACAUAUCAGUGUGGCACUUAUGUGCUAAUUCUCUACGUAUCCGUGUAUAUUUCGAGUGUUCAGCGGGAUUAAUAAUGAGUUAAAGUAAAUAUGAAAUGAGGUGUGUAUGCAGGUACAUUUGAAAGAAUGAGCAUAUGUGAUAAAGGUUAAGUGUGUAAAUGUAUAUGCAAGUGAAUUUGGUAAGAUUGUACAUAUAUAAGUGAUUGAAAUUGCUAAGAAAUGUAUUGAUUAGUUAUAUGUUAAAAAAUGUUAAUUAUUAAAUGAGUGCUUAUUGUUUACAUGUAACUUACUAAGCUAUUAGUAGCUUACUCCUUUCUUCAUUUCCUUUGUUUUAUAGUGUUUUGAGCUUACUCGAAUUGGGGAUCGUCGGCGCUUCGUAUCACACUAUCAACAGACAUCUCGGUAUUAUGUGAUUUCAAAACUUUUAAAGCUAUGGCAUGUAUAGAGACUUAUUCAUUUUGAGUAUGUUCAUAUGAUAUGGCUAAAGAUUUGCUAUUGAAAUGGUUAGUAAAUAACAUGUUUUGGUGUUAUAUAUGUUUAAAUGGUAGCUAAUACAAAGAAGCAGUUUUUCAAUAGCAGCAGUGACGUGAUUUUAAAAAAUCACCAAAAAUAGUAGAAAUGGAAUUAGAGAGUGAAUGAUAUAUAUAAUUAAAUAUUAUCAAGUCUAUUUUUACAUGAAAGAAACGGUGUAGGCAAAGAAAUUUUAUAUUUUGAGAUAUUUUAAUUUUAGUGAGAUAAGGUCAGAAUGGUUUUUGAAGUCCUGUGUUCUGACUUUAGAAAUUCAUUAAAAAUUAUACAGAAAUAAUUAUGGGUCAUAAUUUAUAUUUCUAAAUUCCCUAGUGAGUCUAUUUUUAAAAUAAUCAAAUGAUAACAUUAUAUGAAUUCUGUACAAUGAGAUAAUUGAUUUUUAGUGACAAGAGGUCAGAACUGUCAAGCAGUGAAACAGGGAAGAAUUUAACGAAUAAACUGUACUAAUUGGCUAAGCCAAAAAUUCUGGAAAUUUUAUGAGUCUAUUUUCAGAUAAAAUUUAUGAAUCUAAAAUUUGAGUUUCAUAACUUAAGUUAUAAUUAAAUUAGUGACAGUCACGCAGGUAGACAGUUUUGUUGGGAAUAGUGAAAUUAAUUUUAAAAGCAAAUUUUUGUGUUUCGAACUAGUAAGUUAAGUCAGAUAACGCCUCGUGCUCGACUCCGGAAACGGUCUCGAGUAAGGGGUGUUACAAUAGGAUUGAGAGGUUCUAAGAAAAAUUGGUUAAGAAAUUUGAGAUUUUCUUAUUCUAUUAAAAACAUGCUACAAGAGUCUUUAAAACCCAACGAGUAUCGAUAUUGAUAAAAUAGUGCUAGUAUCGAUACCAAAUGUUGAAUUUGUUUCCCAAAGUUCUAAUACAUUCUAAACUAACUUAGAAUGACUUUUUAGAAAUUUCUAAUGAUUUCACAUGUCAAAUUUAAGUAUGAUGCAUAUGAAACAUAGAGCAUUAUAAGACGUGCAAAAAUUAAUUAUUAACACCCAUCAAAGUCUAAUUUAGCAUAUUCAAAGGCAUUCAACGAUCAUGUAAAUUAGACUAAAUAAGUCAAAAAUAGACUAAUCAUGCAAAAUCAACUCCCCCUAGCUAAUUGCAUAUAAGAUCCAUUUAAAUAAUUUGUUCAUGCUUUUUUUUUCAAACAAUUUAAUGCCUAAAACAUUUUGAAAACAACUAAGUCCAUAAAUUUAUUUGAAUACAAAAUCAAGACAAGGUAGUGAUACCCAGUUCUCUCCUAAAUGUCCAAAAUAUUUCUUUAUCUAAAGGUUUUCUAAAAAUGUCAGCUAAUUGAUGCAAAGUGUCUACAUACUCUAGAACAAUAUAACCUCUUUAGACAUGAUCGUUGAUGAAAUGCUAUCUUAUUUCAAUAUGCUUAGUCUUAGAAUGUUGGAUGAGAUUUUUAGUGAGACAAAUAACACUAGUAUUGUCACACUUGAUAGGAAUACUAUCUACAUCAAUUACAUAGUCCUUAAGUUGUUGUUUCAUCCAUAAAACUUGAGCACAACAGCUACUGAUAAAAACGUAUUCCGCUUUGGUGGUAGACAACACAACACUAUUUUGUUUCUUUGAAAACCAUGAAAUUAACAUGUUGCCUAAGAAUUGACAAGUACCAGAGGUGCUCUUCCUAUCUAGUUUGCAACCUCCAAAGUCCGGAUCUGAGAAAGCAUGCAAGCUAAAUGAUGAAUCUCUAGGAUAUCAAAGUCUUAAAUUAGGAGUGUCUCUAAGGUACCUAAAAAUUCUCUUAACGACUUGUAAAUGAGAUUCCUUAGGACAAGAUUGAUAUCUAGCACACAAGAAAACACUAAAUGUAAUGUCGGGUCUACUUGUGGUAAGAUAAAGUAAAGAACCAAUCAUUGACCUAUAUAAUUUAAUAUCUACACAUUUAUCUUAUUCAUCUUUGCCAAACUUCGUAGAAGAGCUCAUGGGUGCACCUUGUGGUUUAAGGUUGUCCACCCCAAAUUUUUUUAGCAUUUCCCUUGUGUCCUUAGCUUGAUUGAUGAAGAUGAUAUCCUUCUUUUGAUUGAUUUGGAGUCCUAAAAAGAAGUUUAGUUCUCCCAUCAUGCUCAUCUCCAAUUUACCUUGCAUUAACUUGGAAAAUUCUUGACAAAGAAGAUCAUUAGUAGCACCAAAAAUAAUAUCAUCAACAUAUUUUUGAACUACUAAUAAAUCAUUUUUUUUUCUUUUAAUAAAAAAUGUUAUGUCAACCUUCCCUUUACAAAAACCUUUUUCAACAAGAAAAUUCAAUAGUCUUUCAUACCAAUCUCUAGGAGCUUGUUUCAAACCAUAUAAAGCUUUUGAAAUUUUGAAAAAUGGUUUGAAAAUUUUGGAUCUUUAAAACCAGGUGGUUGUUCAACAUACACUUCUUCAUUUAUAAAACCAUUUAGAAAAGAACUUUUAACAUCCAUUUGAUAUAAUUUAAAAUUAUUAAAGUAUGAAAAAGUUAAAAGUAUUCUAAUGGCUUCCAUUCUAGCUACAGAAGCAUACAUUUUAUCAUGUUUAUUCCUUCCUCUUGAGUAUAACCUUGAGCAACAAGCUUAGCCUUGUUCCUCACUAUGUUACCACUCCCAUCCUAGUAGAUUUUUCUCAAGGUCUUUCUACAAGGGCCAAUAUCCAAUAUUCAUCAUUUAAAGCUUCUUUGAUAUUCUUAGGCUCAAUGCAUGAGAUAAAUGCAACAUAAUUACAUGUAUUUCUAAGAAAAGAUCUAGUAGUUAUUCCUUCGGAUGGAUGUCCCAAAGUCUUACCACAUUUCACAUAGUUGUACUCUCUUGGAUGAUUAACUUCUUUUUCCUCUAUUAUGAGCUCCUUUAGAGCAUCUUUUGUUAGUUCUUGAAUCUUGUCAUUUGAUGAAUGAUCAACUUUAGCAUCAUUGUUUAAUAUUCCAAUAUCAUCAUCAUCAACACAAGUAUCCUUUCUAGGAAGAGGGUUAGCAUCAUUGAAAACAUGUUUUGAUUCUUCAACUACUAAAGUUCUUUUAUUAAAGACUCUACAAGCUUUAGAAUUUAAAGAAUAACUAAGAAAAUUUCCUUCAUCACUUUUUGCAUCAAAUUUAUCAAGAUUGUCUUUGUCAUUUUUUAAAAUAAAAUACUUGCAUUCAAAAGGACGAAAAUAGGUAAUGUUAGGCUUUUUGUUUCUGAAGAAUUCAUAUAGAGUUUUCUUUAAAAAAGGUCUAACCAUUACUCUAUGAACAAUAUAGCAAGCGGUGUUUGUGGUUCCGCCUAAAAAUAAUUUGGUAUUUUGUUUUCACAAAGUAUGGUUCUAUCCAUUUCUUCUAAAGUUCUAGGUUUGCUCUCAAUAACUCCAUUUUGUUAAAAGGUUCUAGGUGCUGAAAGAUUAUGGCUAAUCUCAUUUGAGUUGUAAAAAUUUUUAAAAUCAAGAUUUUGAAAUUCGGUUCCAUGGUCACUUCUAACAUUAGUGAUAGAGUAAGCUUUUUCAUCUUGAUUGAUUUUUGAAAAUGUGACUAAUUUUUCUAAAGCUUCAUAUUUAGUACUUAAGAAAAGAACCUAAGUAAAUCUAGAAUAAUUAUCUACAAGCACAAAAGCAUAUUGUUUUGCACCCAAGCUAGUAGUCCUAAUUGGUCCAAAAAGAUCAAUGUGAAAUAAUUGAAGAACUCUACUAGAAGAUACAUCAUUUUUAGGUUUAAAAGAAACUCUCUUAUGUUUGCCUUUAACACAUGUAUCAGCAACUUUAUUUAAAUCAAAAUCAAUUUUUGGCGAACAUCUCUCUCUCCUCCAAAAAUUCCCAAGUUUGACAUUUUUCCUGUUACUUGGCAAAAUUAUAUUUUCCCUUGCCUUCUGAAUUCUGUCGCAAUCUUGUCAUUCAAUCUUGGUAUUCUAGUUCUUCAAUGUUGUUGUGCAGCUUGGUAAGUGUAAGGGGUGAUUUUUUUUUUGUGUAGGUUAGGGAAUCAUUUUUCUUUAGCUAUUCUAAAUCGAUUCUAUCCUUUUCUUUUUAGUAAUGUGGUUUUGGGUUGUUUUCAAUGAAUCGUGAGGAACGGAAUUCUCCUAUUACAAAAUCGUAGUCAGGUUUAUUCGAGAAGUUGGGUAAGUAUCAAACACUUGAAUUUUACUAUUGUCGAUUUUGUUGGUUCAGUUUAAUUAUGAAUUAAAACUGGUUUUGGGGAGCAUGUGAUGUUGAUUUUUUAGGUUCUGGUGGGCUUGAGUUUAUAGUAGCAUCAAAACCGUACCAGGUGUGUACCCUAAACACGAAAAAUGGAGGUUUGGCGAAAGCCCAAAAAAUGGGUUGUCGACGCUACAUGAGCGUGUGCCCGACCGUGUGUGAGACAUGGUCGUGUGACUAACAAAGGUGUGGCAGUGUGCUCGACAUGACCGUGUGACGGUGUGAGUAUGGUCGUGUGGGCCACACGGGCUAGGCCAGGUUUGGUGGGCCGCAUGGGCAUGUGGGCCCAAAAUUCUAAAAUUUUUCCUAGGAUCACGCGGGUCGUUCUAAUCAACUGUAGACCUAUUGUAGGGUUGGUAAGGGCUAACCAAACCCUAUUUCAUGUUAUCUAAUACUCUAAUAGUCUAAUUUGUGUAGGAAACUGAUAUGUAUGCCUGAUUGUACUGUUAAGUAUGUAUUUAUCUAUAUACGAGCAUGUUAAGCAUGUUUAUUCUGUUAUUUUUGCAUUUGUAUUAUGUAUCUGUGUUUGGGGUGGGAUUUGUAUUUGUGGAGGAAGUGAUCUGUACAUGACUACAUAUUAUCUGUUUUGUGUCGCAUCGACACUCUAUGGUGUGUAGGGAUGGGUGGGUGUUUUUAAGCCCCCACAUGGUGUGAUGGGAUAGGCGAAGAUGGUGUGUAGAGGAUGGGGGUAGGAUUCUGUAUGCCUGAUAUGUUAUCUGAUUCUGAUAUCUAUUACUAUUAUGGACUUAGGUCCGAAUCUAUAUCUGACUGUAUAUUAAACUUUGUGUAUGUCGUAUGACUAUUUCUGUUAGGUUACACACUGAGUUUACGAAAACUCACAUCUAUUUUUCUGUUCUGUUCAAGUAAUCCACAGACUUAGGCGGGUCGACACGGCGGAGGCUCAGCGGUGACCACUCGACAGAGAAUUGUUUUUAUUUAGUAAUAUCGGUUUUAUUUUAAAAAUCUGGUUUUUCUUGAGAGUUUUUAAUUUUUGGGACUCUUUGGACUGUAUGGUUUUAACUUUUGGAUUUGGAUAUUGUUUUGCUUUCUUUUCCACAAUGUUGACAAAAACACUUUACGCAAACAAAUGGUUUUAACAAAUAGUUUUGGAAACACGAGCUUGGUAAACUAAUAAAACGAUAAGUUUUAACUUAAUAGAUAUAGUUUAAAACCCUUCUUCGUAACACACCCAGAUUAGGCCAUAAUGUUUAGGCCAGGUUAGGGGUGUUACAAUGUAUUACAAGCAUAAUCUUAUUAGACACAAUGUCAAUAACUUUACAACCAUUAGACUCAAAAAUGACAUUGAGACCUUUAUCACACAAUUGACUAAUACUUAAUAGAUUAUGCUUAAGAUCGUUGACAUACAAAACAUUUUCAAUAAAGACUGAAGAGUUUUUACCAGUAGAGUCAAUUCCUUAUAUUUGUCCUUUGAAGUUGUCACCAAAUGUAAUUUAUCCCCCACUUUUUGGCUUCAAUUCGAUAAAAUUGCUCGUUAUCGAUCAUAUGCCUUGAGCAUUCACUAUCAAGGUACCAUGAGUUUUUGCUUGAGUUUCCCACCUUGAAGCAAUAAUCCUUUUCCUACAAACAUAGAAUUAUUUUUUGAUUUUUGGUACCCAAAUUCUUUUAGGUUCAUAAGCAUUAGUUUACAAGAUUUUAGUCUCUUUAUGUAUCCAUUUAGAAAGGAUAUCAUUAUCUUUAGUAGUAAUGAGUCCUUUAGGGUCUAAUUAUUUUUCCUUUAUAAGUUUUAAAAGGGUCUCCAUGUUUAUAGUAAUUAAAGCUAUUUUUAACAAAGUUUUGCUUGGAAUUUCUUCUUUUCCAAAUCUUGUUGCAAAAACUUUGUCAGAGUGAGCUUUUUCACUCUUAAGCAACUCAAGUUGCUUUUGAUGAUCAUCUAAACUUUUAAGAGAAAAUUAUGCAAGUCUUGGUUCUUUUUCUCAAAAUCAUUUAUAAUAGCUUGCAUAUCAUGAAUUUUACUUUCAAGUUCAUGAUUAGUUUUGAAAAGUGAAUUAUUUUCAUCUUUUAAUUUUGAAAUGUUUUUCUUAUAUUUUGAAACCAUAGUUUUAAAUUCCAAACCCAACUCAUCAUAGGCAUCUAGUAACUUAUCAAAUGAAUAACAAACUGAAUUACAUGAGUUAAAAGUUACCUUAGAGUCAUUAAUGGCGUAACACCCCUUACCUGAUCCAAUCACCGGACCUGAGCUACGGAGUGCUACAGUUAAAACCGGAACAGAACACAUUCAAUUCACAUCAAUUAUUCCAAAUAAACAUGGAAUUUCUUCAUAAAUACACAAUUAACAUUCAAACUAUACAUGAAUCAUAUAAUCAUAAUCAGUUCAAUGCAUAAUCACCCAAUAUAAAUCUUUCCCAGGCCUUAUUCAAGCUUAUGUAUUCACUAGUAUCAACCUAAAAAUUAACUAGAACUAGUUUGUAACAUUUCUGAAAUUAUGAAUCAAUUAUAUCAUGAAUAAAACCUUCCAAUAAUCAACCAUGUCAUAAACAUUCAAAUAUUAUGACAUACAAUUAAAUCCGAGUCUUAAUUGAGCUUACGAAAACUCUAAAAUUUGACCUAGAAACACACAAGGAUUAAAUUGUAACAUUUUCAAAAGAUAAAGGCAAUUGUGUAAAACAAGGGUCACACAAUUGUGUAUCCAGACCAUGUAACUCACUGAAUUCGUGUGGACUAAAUUGCAAAUUUCAUAAAAAAUACACAAUCGUGUGGCUAGAUGUGUGGCAGACUGAAACUAUGUGAUACAUAUGCUUCCUAAUUUCUAAAGAGUACACGGCCGUGUCAAUAGCCUGUGUGUCGUGUGUCAAAUCAUGUGGUGCAAAAAUAAGCCAUUAAAUGCAUAGCUCAAUUUAACCAUUCAAAAGGACCUAAAAUGUACAUUUAGCCAACAAAAAUACUAGUUUAAACAUACACUUUCAUGUCAAAAAUACAACUUAUAACUCCUCCCUAAAUACCUAACCAAUAUGCCACGAUUAGCACCUCAAACACAAUUAGACCAGUCGAAUCCUUACAAAUUAUUCAACCAUGUGUUUCAAUCCAAAAUUGGUAUCUAAAAUCAACCAUGAUACAAUCAAAUAAUAACCAUUCAAUACCAUUUUCAUAUACCAAAACUUAUAUUACCAUUUCACAUUCAAAGACAAACUAACCUAUCAAUCCAAACACGUUAUGUCAACCUACGAAAAAUUAAAACUUAGCUAUUUACUUGUCUUAAACAUGGAAUACAACAAUGUCAAUUUCGUUACACCUUUCAUAACAUUCUAGCAUAUAGAAACCAUAAUCAAACUUGGCCAUUACACAUCCAUUGGCUCAAAUAAGUCACAUUUCAAGUUGGCUAUUCACUUGCCACUUACAUAUCUCAUAAUAAUACCAAAACAUCCAACAUCAUCAACAUCAUUAGACCAAAAUCAUAAACAUUCAAGAUAACUUAAACACAAUACAACCCGAUAUACAUGCCACAUAACCGUAGUCGGAACAAAUAAGAGACUACUAAAUCAAAGGUUGGAUAGUGUGAGCUCCAAGUUGGUCCAACCGACGAGUUCCGCAAAAUAACCUAUAUAGACACAGAAAAGCAAACAAGAUAAGCAUUAUGAAUGUUUAGUAAGUCCAUAUGAAAAUUUACUCAACUUACCCUGAUAACUCAACAUUUAAGUAAUGAAAACAUAAUGUAGCUAAGUACGAGAAUCUUUGACAUCAUGUUACUUUCAUAUACACUUUCAUGAAAUAAUCAAAUUGUUAGUUUACUCAUACAUCAAACCUUUAUAAAUCAAUUCACAUAUACAUGUACAACAAUUCAGUAUAGCAUAAAAUAUGAUAUUUCAAUUCGUACUCGACUUAUAUACGUAUAUACUUAAGUUCUUACUCAUAUCACAUUCAAACCAUGCUCAUUUGGAAACAUAACAAUUUAAUCCAUUCCAAUCCCUUGAUAUUCUCAUAAUCAUGUAACAUAGCCAUAUACUUUCUCAUGAACCAUCAUUUUCAACAAUCAUAUAACAUUUCAGAAAUUAAUACUUCACGACCAAUUCAUUAGUUCGUAAUGAUUUAAUUACAAGUUAUAAACAUACGACAUUUAAUACAUCUUUGAACCUUUAUCCAAUUCACUUUCACAACCUGUUUAUUGUCGAAGAAAAAUAGUAAGUAUACUUCGGACACACAGGAUAAGAUUGCUCACAUGAGCUGUGAAAAGAAAUGCUCACACAGGCUAUGAAAAUGAGCCUGCUCACACGAGAUGUGGGUCGGGAUGUUAACUUUACACGAUGCUACUCACACAAGCUGUGAAUAAUUUGCAACAAAUGUAAGACCUUAGCCAUCGAUUAAACAUCCAAGACCAGCACCCGAAAUUGUAUAAACCUUAAUGACAUGUCUUUUGUAUCCUCGCUUUCACUAAGUUCACACGGGUCUUAUUCCUCGUAUUCAAUUUAUUUUCAAUUUUUGUAGUCGAAUACUCGCUUUUCGUAUUUCUGAUAAAAAUUCACAUACAUUUACGGUGAGUUAUCAUCAUAUACACAUCAUUCAAUCAUAUCACAACUUUGAUCAAUCAAUACUACUCAUCUAUUCACUAUUAUCAUUUAGUUUUUUUUACAAUUUAGUCUGAUAGAUGUCGUAUUAAUAAAAAUUACACUUAUAUAUAUAAUUAAUAGGUAUAAACACACAAUUCAAAAAUAAUAAUAGAAUAUAGUAAGUUCCAUAUGAACUUACCUAAAAAAAUGGUAACCACAAAGUGUCAAAGACUAAUAUGCAAUUUCUCUUAUUUCUCGAUUAACUUUCGAUUGAUUUAAUUCCAAAUCUAUAGUAAUUAAUUACAAUUUAUCAAUUCAAAUAGCCUUAUAACUUCUUAUUAUAUGCAUAUAACAACUUAAUUUCAUUUUACACAAUUUCUCUAAAGUUCACAUUUUAUUCAAUUUAGUCCCUAAAAUCAAAAUAGCUAUAUCUUUCAAAUUCAAGCUUCGUUUUACAAUCUGAUUCUAAUUAUAUCAUUGUAUAGCCCUCUAAAUUCAAUAAUUACAGAUAUUUCUUACCAAUUUCAAAAUAUAUUUGUUUUAGUCUCUAUACUCAAAAUUAACAAUUUUUUUUACAAAUUAAUCCUUUUUCAUAUCUAAACAGAAAAUCUAACCAAAUAAUACCAAUUUCAUCAAGCAUUCAUAAAUUGUAACUUUUAAUAAUUUUAACAGUUUUGAAAACUAAUACUCAGGUUAGCUAAAUCGAGUUACAACGAUCUCAAAAACAUAAAAUUGACGAAAAAUAGACUAAAAUAACAUACCCAUGCAAAGCUUGGAAGCUUGGCCGAAUGGUUGAAGGUUAACCAUGGCUUUCUUCAUUCUUUUUGACACUCGCGGUUAAAGAAGAAAGAAAAUACAAUGGUGUCCACUUUUGUUUUUGUUUUAUUAUAUGUUAAUUAACCUUUAUUUUUAACAUUAAUAAUUUAACUUAUAAAUUAUUAAUUAUAAACAUUAACCAUCUUGCCUAUAUAAAAGUGGCUAAAGUGUCACUUAUAUCCCAAUAGAUUCAUUAAUUAAAUCUUUUAUAAGUUAAAAUUCAAUAGUGAUCAACUUUAUGGUUUUUAUGAUUUAGUCCUUAUACCUUAAUUAAUCACUAAUUCGGUAAAAUUAACUAUCAAAAAAUUAAUUCACCUAUGUAACAACUCUGUAAGCAUUUACUAAAAAUAUUUACAAGCUUGGUUUACGAAAAUGAGGUCUCGAUAUCUUAUUUUCCAAAACCAUUGAUUUUAAGGCCAAACCACUUGUACUUUAACUAACUGUUUAAUUAGCAAAUUUAUCUGAUCAAACUUCAAUAUAACACUAAAUUUUACUCGUAAAUAUUAAAUAAUAUUUACAGACUCACUCAUCAAAAUUGUGGUCUUGAAACCACUAUUUUCGACACUAUAGAAAAGCUGGCUGUUACAAAUUGCUAUAAGGCAUAAGUUGGCUACUUCUUGAUCUUCUUCAUCAGAGGAAUCCUCAUCACUCCAUGUAACCACAUUGGAUUUAAGCUUUUGUUUGCUUGAUCCCUUCUUCUUCCAUUGAGGACAAUCAAACUUGAUAUGUCCUAGUUUUUUACACUCAUAAUAAAUAAUGGGAUCUUUCUCCUUAGUAGAUUCAAGCUUCAAUCCCUUCUUCUUUUGUAAUCUUCUUCCUUUAUUGGACUUCAUGAACCUUUUGAAUCUCCUAGCAAACAUGGCCAUCUCUUUGUCUUCAUCCACCUCUUCACUUGAUUCAUUAUCUUCAUUUAUGGUGGAUUUAAGAGCAACAUCAACCUUUUUCUUCUCAAGUUUGGCUUCUUCAACCCCUUCAUUAAGCCUCAUCUCGUAUGUAAGCAAAGAACCGAUGAGUUAAUCCAAAGUGAACGUUUCUAAAUUCUUUGCUUCUUCAAUUUCAAUUAACUUGCCUUCCCACAAUUUAGGCAAGCUUCAAAGCAUCUUCCUUACUACCUCUUCAUUUGGAUAUGUAUUCCCAUAAGACUUUAAUUCAUUUAUGAUGAUAGUAAAUCGACUAGACAUCACCUUAAUAUCUUCAUCGAGCUUCAUUUUGAAGGUUUCAUAAUUUAAAGUAAAAAUUUCAACUUUAGACUUCUUUACUUGGUCGGUACCUUCAUAUGUGACUUCAAGCUUACCCCAUAUCUCAUUGGCAUUGGAACAAUAUGAUACUCUACUAUAUUCGUCCGGGUCAAGUGCACAAAAUAAGGUGUACAUAGCCUUGGCAUUCAACUGAAUACUCCUUCUAUCUUUCUCAUUCCACUCUUUCUUACUUCUUGGAAUAAAGAGCUCUUCUUCUUACUUGAGAGGUAUGGAGGGACUGUCCAUGAUGAUGUCCCAUAUGGAAAGAUCAUUUGCUUGUAUGAACAAUAUCAUUCUUGUCUUCCAAUAAAAAUAGUUGGCACCAUUGAAGUAAGAAGGCUUGGAGAUAGAUUGUGACUCUCUAAGAAAAACUAAAUUGGAUGUAGAUAUCAUCUCUUGUGGAUUGAUUCGAUGAAAGUUAAGCUACCUCAAAAAUCUUCUCUUGGUUAUAAAAUCGUCAAAUAGAAACUAAGUCUAAUACCAAUUGUUAGCUCAAAUAAUCAAACCGAAAUUGCCAAGAAGGGGUGAAUUGGUUUUCAAAAUUUUGUGGAAGCUAGAGAAUAAGGAUAGAAAAUUUGAACACAAGAAUUUAGAGUGGUUCGACCCCAAUUGCCUACUCCACUAACUUAGCUUUCUACUACUAAUGAUUUUCCCAAAUUCACUAAUUUGACAACCUUUAAGGACAAGGUUUAACCUUACAAACUCCCUUAAGAUUUCUACCCAAACCUUAAGACACAAACUCUCUCAAAGAAAUGCAAAUAAACAAACGAAGAACAAACCCUUACAAUAUCAGAAUGUUUGUAAAUUAAGCUAAAUUACAAAGAAGAACACUUGAGCAGAUAGAAUAACAAUGACGCUCACAAGUGUUUGUAAGAAAAAUAUAGAAAAUUUUAUCACAAAGGUUGUUUAAUUGAUCUUUAAGCUUGAAUAUUCUCUCUUGUUGUUGUAGGACUUUUGGAAGUUGGUAUUUAUACCCUCUAAUUCAUUUCCAGCCAUUGUGGUUGUUGAGGAAUUAAAUAGAGCCGUUGGAUAUAAAAAUAUCAGAUCAUUAAAUUCGCCUGCAACAAAAAGUAUCGAUACUUUUUCUGUGAGUAUCGAUACUAUUAGCAUUUAAUGUUUGAUUUAGUGACCUUUAAAGUUAGUUUACAACGAUACCAAAGAUCAUUUAUCUAUACCUGGUAAAAGGUAUCGAUUCAAAAAUGGUAUCUUUAUAAAAAGAUGGUAUUGAUAAAAUACAAUAGGUACCAAUAUAUUUUAAAAAUUAUCGAUACUUCUUGUAGGGAGCAAUUUUUCAAUCGAUUUAAAAUGUUUCAAUCGAGUUAAAGAGUUUAAAACCAUUUUUGAACUUUGUCCAAAAUUUUCUAAGUGUUCAAAACAUUUUCUAAAAUUUUUGGAAGUCUUGAAAUGAUUUUUAUGCUUUGAACUUUAUAAUUUCUUUGUUCAAAAACAAACUUUAUUCAAAAACAUUUUUGUUUGUUAUAUCAAAACAAUUUAUCAAAUAAAGAUAGUUUAACAAUUUCAUCCAAAAAAAAUUAUUGACAAUAAUCUUUUAAGUUAAUAACAAAAUAUUUAUAUUAACUGUGAAUUUUAUCUUUAGUAAGGUUUAAAAGGAUGCAACUCCCUAUUAUCAUGGUUUUCAAAAUUGAAUCAGACUAUUCUGUCGAAGGAUUGAAAACUAGUUGAGUAUCAAUUCAAAAUAAAGAGUUAGAUCGAUUAACUCGCAAAUCAAUAUGAAUGAAUGAUUAAAUUUAUUUUUUAAUUUUUAAUAAUUUUUUUAAUUAAAUUUAAAAAAACUGAUCAAAAUAAUAAUACUCACAGCUCUCAUUAUGAAAAUAUUAUUGAUAUGAAUGGGAAUUGGGAAAUGACCAUUUGAAUACGGAUAAAUUUGGCAGAAAUAUCUUCCACAGCACAUGCAAUGCUGGAUGCCAAUGAAUAUUCACAUGACUGGAAAAGCUCACAAUUUUCUGAUGUGAUAUUGUUAUAAUCAUCAUAUCAAAAACUUAAAUAUAAUAUUUUUCUAUAAAAUAAAUAAAUAAUAUUGAAAAUAAUAUAAAUAUAAUAUGAAAUACAUAUACUUUAUAAAAAAAUUUACCUCAGUCAAUAAUAUGGGUAAGCAAAACUCGAUUUGAUUCGAAAAAAUCAGAAAAAAUUUUGAAUUUCAAAUUAAUCGAAUCGAUUUAUUCGAGUUAUUUGAGUCAAAUGAAAUAUGUAAUUCGACUUUCGAGUUCGAGUUGAAUUAAACUUUAAAAUUCGAAUAACUCAAAUAACAUAUUAGUAAAAUUACACAUUUGGUCUUUUCCCAAUUUUGAAAAUUAACAAAUUAGUCUCUCUCAACAAAAAAAAUUAAAAAAAUUCUAAAUAAUUUUUAGAAAUCCAUCUAUUUAUAAAAAUUAAAAAUAGAUUUGAUCCAAUUUGGUACCCAAACUUGACAUUUUUUCCUAAUUUGGUACUUAAUCUUUUUUGUUCAAUUUACUUAAUUUUUUUGUUCAAUUUGGUACUUGUCAAACGUUUUACAAUUUACCCAAUAUACUAAAAAUAUUAUUUUUUAUAAGGUAGCAAAAAUAAUCAAUGUAUGGCCGAUAUAUGACAGUUGAUAUGAUAUUUUUGUAUUUUAUAUGUUAAAUUACUUUUAGUUUUAUUUAGUUUUUUAAUUAUUUUAUUAAUUGAAAAUAAUGAAUUUCUUUUAAUUUGGGUUUUUUUACUUAUUUAAUAUUAAUUCAUUAAGCAUAGCUCAAUACCUAUUUUUUUAACAUGAAUUCCCUCUAAUACUGACAAUAUUUUUGUAGCAUAAGAAAAUUUUUUUAACACUAUUAAUGUUUUUCUUAAUUUGUAUAACAUUUAAUAAAUUUAUGUACCAAAUUGAACCUAAUAAAAAGCUUAGGUACCAAAUUAGGAAAAAAUGCCAAGUUCAGGUACUAAAUUGGGCCAAAAAAAUUUAGGUAUCAAAUUAGGAAAAAGUGUCAAGUUCAGGUACCAAAUUGGGCCAAAAAAAUUUAGGUACUAAAUUAGGAAAAAAUGUCAAGUUCAUGUACAAAAUGUUAUAUUAAGCCUAAAAAAACAAUAUCAUGUCCAUUUGAAACAAAAAAGAAGGUAUUAAAAAAUAAGGCAUAAUAUCUUUUUUGGCCAUUUAACUUAAAAAAUAUAUUUUAGCCCUCCAUUUAAUUUUUCGUCUCUUUUAGCUCAUAAACUUGCAUUGCUUGUCAAAUCACCCAAAAUAGCUAGAAGUUAAUGUUUGUUAACUUUGUUGACGCAGUAUACACCACGUUUGCAAUUAACUAAUUAUUUUUAAAAUUUAAAAAUACAUUUUAUAAUUUUUAAAAUAAUUUUUAUAUAUUAUUUUGAAUUUUUUUAAAAUUUAAAAACUAAUUAAUUGUUGACAUGGCAUCCACGUAGCAAUUCACAUGUAUGUCACAUCAACAAUGUUAACUUUUUCAUCUAUUUUUAGGUGAUUUGACAAAUAAUACAAGUUUAAUAGCUAAAAUAGAAGAAAGUUUAAAUGAAUGGCUAAAUUGAUUUUUUUUAUAAAGUUAGAGUGUCAAAUACAUCAUUAUGUUAAAAAUUAAAAAAAAAAUUGAUAGACGUUCGUCAAAGGUUCUAUUUAGGCUUUUUUUUUAGUAUAAAUAUAAAUAUAGAGUAGUUUUCUUUACUUUGCCAUCUAUGUGUUGUUUGUAUGUAUUAAUAAAAUUACAUUUAAUUAUUUCUUAAAUUUUGUAAAAUUUUAUUAAUAAUAUAGUUAUAAAAUUAAAACAUAAUAAUAUAUAAAUUUAAUCUUAAAAGCACGAUAUGAUUUUAGAUUAAAUUUAAAUAAACAAUAUUUUGAAAUUACUUUAAAGUAUAAAUAUUAUAAUGGUAGAUUGUAUGAAAUUUCUAUUUUUAUAUAUAAUUUCUAAUAUAAAUUUAAUUAUUAAUUAGUGGGUGUAGAUUGUUAAUUAAAUUUAAAUAUUGUGACCAUACCAUUAUUUAUAUUUUUCAAUAUCUAUUUUAAUUUUAAUAGUUUAUUUAAUUUGUAAAAAUAAUGAUAAACUUAAAAAGAGUUUUUUUAAUUGUUUUAAAAUUUAUCAUAAUUUAUUAUGUAAAAUUGUAAAUUAAAUUAUUUAAUAUAAGCAAAUUGAAAGAAUUUAUUAUGAAAAUAUAACUUACAAAACACCGUUAAAUUUUAUAUUUAUAUAUAUAUAAGCGGAAUAGUUUAUGUUACAAAUUUUCACUUCAAAAAUGCUUACUUUCUUUCCUUAUUCUAAGUCAAAAUUUUAUAAUGUGAACACAUUAAAAACUUAAAAAUAUUGUAAUAUAUAUGAUUAUAAAAUCAUUUCAUUAAAAUUAAUUUUCAACAAGAACCUUUUAAGUUAAUAACCAUAUAUUUAUAUUAAAUGUGAAUUUUAUCUUUAGCAAGGUUUAAAAGGAUGCGGCUUCCAUCGCUGAUUGAGUUUUAACUCGAUCAGAAUUGACAUUGUUGUCAAUGCAGGAGGAAGUGGGUUCGAGUGUGAUGAAGCGCAUUGUCCUCCUAGUUAUAGGUUGGAAAGAGGCUAUGAGUAAUUCUAGGCAUUAUGUCAAAAGAAUAGAUGUGAUCAAAAUUUAUAAUUAAAUUAUUAAAAAAAAUACAACUUCCUAACAUGGUUUUCAAAAGUGGAUCAGAAAAUUAGUUGAGUAUGAAUUCAAAAAAAAAAAGAAUUAGAUUAAUUGAGUUACGAAUUGAAUAUUGAUUUAAUUUUUUCUUUUAAAUAUGUUAUAAUUUUAAUAAUUUAUUUAAUUAAAUUUAACGAACUGAUGGAAUCAAUAUUAUUGAUAUGUAGGGAAAUGACCAUACGAAUACUGUAUAAAUUUGGCAGAAAUAUCUUCCACAGCACAUGCGAUGCUGGAUGCCAAGGAAUAUACACAUGACCGGAAAAGCUGAUAAAUUUCUAUUGUGAUAAUAGUUAUAAAUGAUGAAAACAUAAUUUAUCAUUAUAUCAAAAACUUAAAAAUAAUAUUGUUCUAUAAAAUAAAUAUAAUGUUGAAAAAUAAUAUAAAUAUAAUAUGAAAUACAUAUACUUUAUAAAAAAAAUUACUGAACUUAAGAGUAUGAUGAGCAAAAUUCGAUUUGAUUCAAAAAAAUCAAAAAAGAAUUUAAAUUUUAUGUUAAUUAAAUCGAUUAAUUCAACCAUUGUUAAAAUUUGAAAAUAAGCAAAUUGAUUUUUUUUAAAUUCAAAAUAAUUUUUAAAGAUCCAAAUAUUUAUAAAAUCUCUAAAAUUUAUAUAUUUUUAAAAAUUUUAUAAAAAAUAAAAAAUUUCUAAAGAAUAUAUAAAAAAAAGUUAAAAGGGAUUCUAAAACAAUAAUUUUAGGAUUUAAAUAAGUAAAUUAAGGAUUUAAGUUUAUCAUACUAAAUUAUUCUUUUUUUCUCUUAUUUUGCUUUGAAAUUAAAAAAAAAUUCAACUAUAUAUGGUUUCAAAUUUAUAUGCUCUAAAAUAGAAUUAAUUAUAUAGUAAGAAGAUGUUAAUCUGACAUGUUUAAUUUUUUUAAUCUAACUCAAACAAUCUUACUCAAUUCAAUUCGAUUCAACUCGACUCGAAUUAAAUUCCAUUUCACCCAACUUAAUUCAAAAAAAUUAAAUUAAAUUAAAACAACAAAAUAAAAUUCAUCAACUCAAUAAACUAUUCUCAACUUAAUUUUAAUCCAACGCUUACGCUACCUAAAAGUUUGUCUGCUACCAAUUUUUGCACUAAAAACAAGAGUAAAAAAAGGAGGCAAAAAUACAGCCAUGGCUAAUUCCACACCGUCAAUUAACUUCAAUUCAUAGUACUAAAAUUAUAAGAUAUCGGGAAAAGCAUUCCACCAACUUUCAAGUUUUUUUCACGAUGAAACAGACAUUUGUUGGAGCCCACCAGUUAUGAACCCACCUAAGACUGAAGCGUGACUAGUGACCGCAAAUUUUCUGCAUACUCAUACCAUUCUAAGGGCCCCCACCUUCCACGUGGGAAGCACUUAGACAUUGAGAUGAGACUCCUCCUCUCUCAUAAAGCCACGUUUUAUUGUAGUUCAACGUUGUAAUCAGUUCAAAUUGGCAGAUCCUAGGUGAACUUCAGUGACCACGCCACUUCAACAACUUCCAUCACUCCUAACCCAGCUGCACUCAGUGAGUGAACCAUCUCGAGUUCUUGAGGUACUGCUAACUUAGCUGAUUUUGAGUUACAUAGGUUCCUGUUUCCUUUUCAUCACCCUACGUUCUCUUGAAGCUAUAUAAAAUGUUGGGUUUUUGUCUUUAGUUAAUUUGGUUUGGUUUUCUUUUUGGUAUCAGCUUUCGAUCAAUGGCAACCCUGACAACCUCACACUUUGUUUCGACAAGUUCACAUUUCAGCAGCCAUGGAGCAGACACAAAGGCCAAUCUUGCACAGGUUGGUGCCAGGAAUCAAGCCAUGACUCACAAUGGUUUGCGGUCUUUGAACAAGGUCGAUAGGUUGCAGAUAAGGACCACCAACGCAAAGGCUGUCGUUACGAAAGCUAUGAAACAGGCAGAUCACAGGCCUUUGGGAAAAAUUAUUUGCGGAAUAGGGAUGAAUAUAGUGUUUGUGUCAGCUGAGUGUGGCCCCUGGAGCAAAACUGGUGGACUCGGUGAUGUCCUCGGUGGACUUCCUCCCGCAAUGGCUGUAAGUACAUAUAAGUAGAGAUUUUGGCUUUGGUUUUGGUAUUUAAGUGAGAUAACUAGCCGCUAUUGCUUAUUUAUCGUUCAAUAGGCCAAAGGACACCGUGUUAUGACAGUGUGUCCUCGCUAUGAUCAGUACAAGGAUGCAUGGGAUACAAGUGUGUUAGUUGAUGUAAGGUUUCCAAUCCUGCUCGAUUCAAGAGAUAUCAUAUUUUACUUUUUUAGUACUUCAUAUUCCACUAAAAGGAUCUAUGUUUGGAUUAAUUUCUUAAACUUGAGAUCCUAAUAUGCAGCUAAAAGUCGGAGACAAAGUUGUAACUGUUCGGUUCUUCCACUGCUACAAACGUGGAGUUGAUCGUGUCUUUGUCGAUCACCCCAUGUUCCUUGAGAAGGUUUGAAAUGAUUGUUGCCUUGGUUUAAUGUUCCUGGUAAAUGAUUCUCGUUCAAUCAAUUUUCUUAUGGUCGCUGUUCUGAUGAUUCAGGUAUGGGGCAAAACAGCAUCCAAAAUCUAUGGCCCCAGAGCAGGUUUGGACUACGAAGACAAUCAACUGCGGUUCAGCUUGUUAUGCCAGGUAAAAAAAAAUUUUGCCAUGUCCCUGAGUCUAACCAUGAUAUUGUCUCUUUCAAAUAUAAGUCAACCUAAUUUAAUGCCAUUUUUAUUUUGUUUGUUUGUAGGCUGCUUUGGAGGCACCUAGGGUUCUAAAUUUAAAUAGCAGUAAAAAUUUCUCAGGACCAUAUGGUAUGAAGUCCUCCUCUUUAGUUCUAACCUUGAAAGUUUAACUCUCUUCUUCCAUGAAAUGGUUUAGGCUAAUGUGCUUCACCACCAUCUUCUGCAGGGGAAGAUGUUGUCUUUAUUGCAAAUGAUUGGCACAGUGCUCUUCUUCCAUGCUAUUUAAAAAGCAUGUACCAGUCAAGGGGUAUCUACAUGAAUGCAAAGGUAUGGUUGAUGGCCUCUGAAACGCUAAGUUAAGCAAGCAGAAGAUUGGAUCUUACAUUGUGCGUGAUAAAUAUGUCAGGUUGUAUUUUGCAUCCACAACAUAGCCUAUCAGGGAAGAUUUGCCUUUGCAGAUUUCAAACGUCUCAAUUUGCCUGAACGGUUCAAGAGUUCAUUCGAUUUCAUUGAUGGGUAAUGAAACCAAAAGUGCUGCUGCUGUUACUAUUUUUGUUACAGUAUUGAUGAAUUGUUUUCUUUGGUCAAGGAUUUAAAAGGUUUUUAUCGUCAGGUAUAACAAGCCCGUCAAGGGAAGGAAAAUUAAUUGGAUGAAGGCUGGAAUAUUGGAAUCACAUAGAGUCUUGACUGUAAGCCCAUACUAUGCCCAGGAGCUUGUAUCUGGUGAAGACAAAGGUGUAGAACUUGAUAACAUCAUUCGUAAAACUGGCAUCACCGGCAUCGUGAAUGGCAUGGAUGUUCAAGAAUGGAAUCCUGCCUCUGACAAAUACAUCAGUGUCAAAUAUGAUGCAACAACUGUAAGUGCUUUCUAUAGCAUCCAGUUUCCCGGUUGGUUGUGGUAGUAGGAGACGCGUUUUUUAGUAACUGUCAAUGCAGGUAAUGAAGGCAAAGCCAUUGUUAAAGGAAGCUCUUCAAGCUGAGGUGGGAUUGCCUUGCGACGGAGAUGUUCCUUUGAUCGGAUUCAUUGGUAGGCUAGAAGAGCAGAAGGGUUCAGAUAUUUUGGCAGAAGCUAUUCCGAAAUUAGUUGCUGAAAAUUGCCAGAUUGUAGUCCUUGUUAGUGUCAAAUUUUAGAAUUCCCCCUUCUGUGAUUGUUACCGUUGCUUCAACGAGUAUAGUAUUAAUAAAGGGAUCUAUUUUCCUUUCAGGGCACAGGCAAAAAGGCCAUGGAGAAGCAGAUUGAGCAGCUGGAGAUCCAAUACCCUGACAACGUUAGAGCAGUAGCCAAAUUCAAUGUCUCAUUGGCCCAUAUGAUUAUUGCUGGUGCUGAUUACAUUUUGGUCCCUAGUAGAUUCGAACCAUGCGGUCUCAUUCAGCUGCAUGCUAUGCGAUAUGGAACAGUAAAUGCUUCUGACCAUCUCUUUUCGGCAACCAACUGAUUUGAUUUCAUAAGCACUAUGUUGUUAAUCUUAGUCUCAUUGUACCGGAUCAAAUUAACCUCGAUAUGCUAUUGGUUUUGUGCUAUAGGUUCCGAUAGUUGCCUCUACUGGUGGACUUGUUGACACAGUCAAGGAAGGAUUCACAGGGUUCCAAAUGGGAGCUUUCAACGUUGAAGUAAGUAGUAAAAAUUAUUUGUCUUUGUGUGAAGCUCCGUGAAUGAUAUAUUUAUAUUUAUCUCAUCCACCUUUUAUGGGAAGAUCACUCAUCUCAAUGGGAUGUGUUUGCAGUGUGAUGAAGUGGAUCCAAGUGAUGUGAUUAAGGUGGUAAAAACUGUCAAGAGAGCUCUUGCAACAUAUGGGACUCAAGCACUGAAAGAAAUGAUCCAGAAUUGUAUGGCACAAGAUUUUUCAUGGAAGGUUAGUAGCUCGUGUAGGAAGCUUGUCUUGCAUAUGGUGGAUAAUGUAGCUAAUUUAGAGUUCUAGGGAGAAACGAAUACGCAUCUCUAGUUCUUUGAGGUUUAAAUGGAAAUUUAUUGAUUUGUGCAGGGACCAUCAAGGUUGUGGGAGAAGAUGUUGUUGAGCCUCGGGGUGGCUGGCAGUGAACCUGGCAUUGAAGGAGAGGAGGUUGCUCCUCUUGCCAAGGAAAAUGUUGCCACACCCUGAGCAUAAUCAGAAGGCAACUAUGGAUAAAGCUUAGUAACCUGUUUUCUUAGACAACCAAGUCCAAGUACCUGUCUACUCUCGAUAGCCAUUGGCUUGACCGGCGGAAAACAAACUGACCUGCCAUACGUGAAGUCAGUAGUGCUAUUUUUGAGGGUGAAAAGUCAGGAGAUAGUAUGAUAUAUAUCCAUAGUUAUAGCAGCUAAUGGGUGUUAGUAAUGUUGUCAAGAACUUAAAGGAGAAUCAGUUUCUCUGCAUAGUUUUAUGAGUAGUGAGCAAUGUGAAAUAAGAUAAAAUGUUCAACUUCUACUUAAGGUGUCUUCUUACGUGAAUGAAUGCUUGCAUCAUAUUUGAGCUUUAUAUAUGUCCUAUAUUCCAUCUUUUUUUAUAUUGUAAUUAGGUAAAAUGAUGGAUGUUUUGGGUCUCAAAAGGAUGGAGAAUUGAGAUGGGAAAAUAGUCUAAGGCUAUGAAUAUGAAGAAUCCCAUUCUCUUAAAAUGUGUUGAACAGCAAAUAUUUUUAUAACAUGGUGUACAGCCCAAUUUAUGCCCGGGCCCAACAUGCAGAGACCCAAAACCCAAAUUAAUUAAACCCAAACUAAACCUACCCAAAUAGCCCCUUUACAAACCCCAAAACUAACCCAAAUGGCCCAAUACAAUCGGCCCAAUAAGCCCAACGGACCCAAUCACCGGUCAAACUAGGGUUUCAGAAAACUGAAACCCUAGCCUACUGCCCUCAGCCGCCGCUCCCAUGCCUCUGCCACCAUCACCUUAGCCACCUGCCCUCUGCUCCACCUGCUAACUGCUACGCCACCAUCAGUCCCUGCAAAGUGAAAAGGAACACGCAACAGCAGCACAAAAAAAAGGGGAAAGAAGACAGCAAACAUUGAAAUUUUCGGCUAUAAAGCCAUAUUUUGAACCGAUUGUAAGGGGGGGAUUUUCUUUACGUUUUUUCUUCCUUUCUUUCGGCAAAAGCCGAAUAGGCUGUAAUAGGGGGGACAAAAAAAUCAAAAACAAAAAAGGAGAUAAUGAAAUAGAAACAAAGAUAAAAGUUUUAGUUUCCAAAACUUUUUUGUUCAUUUUUUAUUUUUACUUUUGUUUUGUUCAAAAAUAUAUAUGUAUAUACGCAUAUGUAGCAAAAAAUACCUUUUUUGAAUUUUCCGGCCACGGCGGCCACGGUGGUCAUCGGCCGGGAUCCAGGAUGGAGGUAGAGAGCCUGAGAGAGAAUGAAAUCUUUUUUCUUUUUUUUUUUCUGGAAGAGGGAAGGGAAAUGAGGAUUUUUUUAAAAAACUUUACUAUUUAUACUAGUAUUGAAACGGCGUCGUUUCAUUCAGAGACUUUAGGUUCCAAAACGGCGCCGUUUGGCAUUUGACCCGUGACCCGGCCCGUCCGACCGUAGGAUCCGCGUAUUUUCUGAUUUGAGGGGCUAUUUUCGCAGGCGGUCCCUCCGGUUUUGCAACAUAGCGCGAUCCGGUC
rnacentral:lncRNA from 1 species